CGCCGUCAUCUUCCACAGGUCCGCCUUCAGAUUAUAUUGAGGCUUCUACCUUAUCUGGCCACUCUGCCAUCGACGUCACCAUGACGCCAGACAGCUACCUCCUCCUGCGCGAGUCCAUCUCCGCGCAUUGGACGCCGAGCCUCCACAGCGCCAUGCCGCCGAUCUCCGCCGCCAUCAAUGUGUGAGAUGAGGUACCGCUCCACCACCCCCCUAGCCAUCACUUGCUCCAAAACGAUGCCCCCAGGAGGGAAAGCGAUAAAACGCCAUCAUCGUCCGAUCCGAAAGACCCAGAUCUAGGGUUUCCCCCGGAGCAUCCCGAGCCUGAUGACGCAGACUGCAACGAGGAUGCCUCGACAAGGAAACGACAUCUAAGACGCCGUCAUCGUCCGCCAUGACCGUAGUCGGCGCGAUUUUCAUCGGCAGUUGCUCCACCAGACGUGCGCCACCGACGGCGCUGGUCCCUUCAACUGGAGUAAACUCCAAAACGAUGCCCUAAAGAGGGACUACGACGCAAAAUCGCAGUCAUCACUCGAUCCAAAGGAGAUCUAGGGUUUCCCCCGGAGAUGUCCGCGCUGUCAAGGAUCAGACAAGGGUAGAAUCCCGGUGGAUCUGCCCAGCUGCCGACAAGUUGCACCCGCCACCGUGCCGACGGAAAACCAGCGGUCAAGGCCCACGCUCGGGCAUAGAUCCGGCCGUGCCNNNNNNNNNNNNNNNNNNNNNNNNNNNNNNNNNNNNNNNNNNNNNNNNNNNNNNNNNNNNNNNNNNNNNNNNNNNNNNNNNNNNNNNNNNNNNNNNNNNNNNNNNNNNNNNNNNNNNNNNNNNNNNNNNNNNNNNNNNNNNNNNNNNNNNNNNNNNNNNNNNNNNNNNNNNNNNNNNNNNNNNNNNNNNNNNNNNNNNNNNNNNNNNNNNNNNNNNNNNNNNNNNNNNNNNNNNNNNNNNNNNNNNNNNNNNNNNNNNNNNNNNNNNNNNNNNNNNNNNNNNNNNNNNNNNNNNNNNNNNNNNNNNNNNNNNNNNNNNNNNNNNNNNNNNNNNNNNNNNNNNNNNNNNNNNNNNNNNNNNNNNNNNNNNNNNNNNNNNNNNNNNNNNNNNNNNNNNNNNNNCUCCUGCCGCGCGGGAGCGAAGUCGCCGCCGCCACCACCCGUCGUGGCGUCCGGCCCGCCGCCACGCUCCGGCCCGGGGGCGCCGGCCCGCGCCAGCCCCACGCGAGCGAGAGGGCCCGAGUCCCCGCCGCUGCCGGCGACGACCAGGUUUCGUCUGGCCGCGCCCUUGGGUGGCGGCGAGGGAGGAGGAGGAGGAGUGGGGGAGGGCCGGCCGACGGGGUCUGGGGGCCUCCCGGCCGCCCACGCGGGGGGCGACUCAGGAGGGGAGAGGGAAGGGUAUUCGAGGGAACCGAGUAAGAAAAUCCUUUUAAAAUGGGGGAGAAUUUCACUUUCCCGGCCUCUGCACCAACUAGGGAUGCAUACGGUCAUUUUAGUAUGAGUACCAAGAUAAACAUGGUCCUCAGAAUUUUUUAAAUAAGCAUCAAGAUAUUUUUUGAUGAGUGGUUUCAUCAUACACACCAAACUUGAUCCUCAAUAAAUGAGGAAAACCCCUGUGCAUCACCUGUCAAUUUUAGGAAUUGAACUCGGGUCGUUAGACUGCACAACCGCAUGCCUAACCACUGAGCCAAGGCAAAGAUCUAUCUGAGUGAACACAUCAAUUGUGAAUGCAUUGCAGGUCGUGGCAAUUUUCAUGUUCUCAGCAGCCUGUGCUUCCGCGAGCCUGACAAUUUUCUUCAUGCGGGAUGUGAACUUCUGCGCGGCAUACUCGCGGCUGGCCUGCCGGCAGUUCACGCUUUCGGUCGUCCUGGCGUUCAUCACGUGGUUGUUGCAAGCUGCAUAUUCUUUCUCCGGGUUCUGGCUACUGGUUUGAUUCUUCUAGUGAUCUCAUGUGCUCAUAAUCGUCGUGACAUCAUGCUAAUUGUCAGUUAAGAGGGUAAGUCGGUUGAAAUCUGCUCGGGACACAUGCUAGAUUUCAGUUAUGGGCACGGAUCCUUCAAUCCUUCAUCCCUUGUUAGAUAGAUCGCCUGUUUGAUAGUAGCUCAUCUUUAUUCUAGGAGUUGGUUGUGAGCUCCUUGAGGUGGAGCAAUUACUUUUUAGAUGAUGUGGGAUCAUUAAUAUAUGGAGAUAAAUCACGGUCGAAAGUACCUGAAAAAUGCUCUGGUUAUUGUACAAAUGGAAUUUCAUAUAUCUUCAUGUUGCUCGGACCAACUGUUUCCGGUUGCUUUGCAUCUAGCUAAUUUGGAUGUGCUUCACACUGUGAACAAGCCUUUCUUUUGUUGCCAAGCAAUGUAGACAUGUAGUCUUUCUCAUCAUAGUUUGGAAGUCGAAUGCUAAGGAUAUCUUGUUCAUCUUGAGGCAUGAAAAAUUGUUUGACCUUGUCCUCCUUCCAAGUAUGGGUAUCACCAAUCGAAUAUGUGAUUUUGUUGGGUUUAUGUUAAUUUUGAGAUUUCCUCUCAGGAUCCAAUUGUCCCUCCAUGUGCGAAUACUAUGGCCGUUACAAAUACAUCAUACACCCCUUUCUUCAACAACUCCAAACCAUUCAUGAUGCCUUAUGCAUUUCGAAUAAAUGCUGUGUAGCAAAUCAACCCCGGGAUAACAUUUAGCCUUCAUAACCCUUGCACAUAGACUGUUAGGGAACACUAUGAGUUGCCAAGCUUGCCUAGCAAGGAGAGCUUGGUUAAAAAUUUGGAGGCCCUAAAGAAUUUAGUUGAUCUUUCUCAGACCUUUCAUGCUAUUAGUGUUUGAUUGAUUAUUAUAUAUAUGACACAUACCUCACUCCCUCUGUUGGAAAAGGCAGUGCCUAGGAGGCGCUUAGGCACGCCUAGACGCUAGGCAGUGGCCAAACGCCUCGCCUAGGGCAUAAAUAGAGGUCUAGGCAGGCAAGCAAGGAACUAUUUACCCAAGUAAGAAAUCAUGCCACAUACCGCACUAAUAUGCAAAACGGGUUAUAUUUCAAUGACAGUAGAUGGUAAUCAACUUAUUUAUAUGCCCUAAACUAAUAUCAACACCCAUAUAAUAAUCACAAAGACACUACGAGUAAAAACUAUAUUACCGCCUAGGCCACGCCUAGGGCGCUUAGGCACUGCCUAGGCACUAGGCGAAGGCCAACCGCCUCGCUUACGCCAACCGCUUUUUCCAACCUUGUCACUCCUUUGGUUUAGUUAUUUCAUUCAUGUUGAUAUUUCGUGCACAUAAAGAUCGAUUUGCACGGUUUAGCUUUUUAAAAUAUAUGAUUAACAUUUUCUGAUUCAUGAUAAAAAUUCAAAUGUUUGAUUAAAAAUUUUAAAUACAUGAUCAACUUUUUUCAUAUACAUUGUGCAUUUUUGUAAACAUUUUGUCAUAUACAUAAGAAACAUUUUUGAAUGCACAUUUAACAUUUUUAAAAUGCUAGAUUUUCUUUUCAAAAACUGUAUGUACAAUGUUUUUUGUGAUAUAUAUAUUUAGAAUAUUUAUAAGUAUAAACAAAAGUAAAAGGAAAGGCAAAAAACAAAAAGAAAAAACAUGAAAAAGUACGAGGUUGUGGCUGCCCGCGAGCUGGCCGGCCCGAGUCAGAUAUAGCCUGCUGUUUUUUAAAGCAAAUUCGGAAAGGGCGGAAGAAGUUUCUCUCUUAUUGGAGACUUAUGCAAGGGCUUCUGGUCAAAGAGUAAACAGGGACAAAUCGUCAUGUUUCUUCAGCAACGGAUGUCCAGAAUCAGUGAGACAGCAGGUGAAACAAGUCUUGCAAGUUCCCAAUGAACAACUUAGUGAGAAAUAUUUGGGGCUGCCUACAGACAUAGGUUCAUCCAAGAAUGGAGCGUUCAAGUAUCUUAUUGAUCGCUUAUGGAACAAGAUGAGAGGAUGGAUGGAGAAGUCACUCUCAGCUGCGGGGAAGGAUGUUCUUAUCAAAUCGGUUGCACAAGCCAUUCCGGUCUUCUCGAUGUAUUGUUUCAAACUUCCUCGAGGACUAUGUGAAAAGUUAACCUCAGCCAUAAGAGCCUUUUGGUGGGGCAGCAAACAAGGGAAAAGGAAACCCCAUUGGGUGUCUUGGGAUAGUAUGACAAUGCCAAGGUAUAUGGGUGGUCUUGGCUUUCGCAAUUUUGAACUUUUUAACUUGGUUCUCCUAGCUCGGCAAUCUUGGAGGAUCUUGGUCUCUCCGGAUUCUCUUAGUGCUCGAAUUCUAAAAGCAAUAUACUUCCCAAACAGCUCAAUCCUUGAUGCAAAUAUCGGAAGCCAUCCAUCUCAGGUUUGGAGGGCUAUUCUGGAAGGAAGGGAUAUUAUGAAGCAGGGCCUGAUUAGGCGAAUUGGGGACGAAUCAGAGACGGAAAUAUGGAGCACAAAUUGGAUCCCGCGGGCUGAGUUAAUGAGACCACUCGUCUCUAGAAUCCUAGAUCCACCCCAACUAGUGGCUGAGUUGAUUGACUCAGGAAAUGCACGCUGGAAUAUGGAGCGGGUGAAUCAGGUUUUUCUGCCUUUUGAUGCACAGGCAAUCUUUCAGAUUCCGAUCUGCAUUAGGAACGUGGCGGAUUAUUGGUCCUGGAUGUAUGAGAAAUCGGGCAUCUUUAGUGUACGGUUGUGUUAUCGCAUGAUAGUUGAAACCAAGAAGAGAAGGGAGGACUGGUUGGAGUCAUGCCCGGCUGCGUCUAACCGCCGAGAGGAUGAGCUCGCUUGGGUCCGACUAUGGAAGACCACAGUUCCGGCUAAAAUCCGGGUAUUUUUGUGGAGGCUUGCGCGCCAGUCUAUCCCAACGGAAGAUGUCAGGAUGCACCGGAAUAUGACUACGAGCUGCACGUGUGCUAUUUGUGGGACUCCGGACUCGUGGAAGCACAGUCUCCUGGAGUGUAUUGCUGCUUGCUGUGUUUGGUCACUAGUUGAUCAAGAAUUGAUCGAUGAACUUCAGAGCAACACCGAACAAAACGCAAGAAGGUGGUUAUUUACCAUGAUCGAGCAACUUUCACAUGAAAAGUUCAUCACAGUAGCAGUCACCCUUUGGGCCAUUUGGUCGGCGAGAAGAAAGCUAAUACAUGAAGGAAUAAAUCAAAGCCCUCUGUCGACAUAUAUGUUCAUCACACAUUUCAUCUCAGAGCUAGAACAGGAGAAGAACAAAGUUCAGGACCAUGUGAUCAGACCAAAGAGUGCAGUACCGAGAAGAUGGAUUCCGGCAACACCGGGCUGCGCCAAAAUCAAUGUGGACGCCGCGGUUUCUCGAGGAGUUGGAGCAGUCGCGGCUGUGUGUAGGAACAAUAAAGGAGACUAUCUUGGAUCCUCGGCGUUCGUCGUUCGAGGAUUGAUAGAUCCGCCUACUUUAGAGGCUAUUGCAUGUAGAGAAGGCUUAUCUUUGGCUGAAGAUUUGGGGCUACAGAAUAUGGUGAUCGCGUUGGACUGUCAAGAAGUAGUGAAGCACAUCAAGGAAAAAUCAGGUGGAAACUAUGAUGGAGUGGUGAAAGAGAUAAGUUUGUGGCAAUCUUCGUUUAGUUCAUGCUGUUUCAAGUUUGAAUCAAGAGUCUCAAAUUUUGAGCCUCACAAAUUAGCUAGGCAUGAUGUAAAGUUGGUUCAUGGCCGACAUAUUUGGCUGGGGCUACCACAUGACACUUCUGUAAUAUCGGUAGCAAUACCAACUAAUGAAUAAAGCUUAGCUUUUUGCUCAAAAAAAAGGUAUAGCCGGGGGAGAGCUCCUGUCUGACGCUCGUUAGCGUCAGGCAGAGUAGCUUUCGCUGAAGGUAGAUACAGAUGGGCCAGCCCAUUUAAAGGUUGGUAGCUCGAGCGCGUAAAAAAACGCCAAAAAUACCCCGCGCCAGAGAGAGAACGCACACAAGACGUCCCGCUCGGAAAUUUUAUAACCAAACCAGUCGAGCUGAAACCUUGUACUGGUUUGCAAGCGGCGCAAGAGCUUAAAGUAAACAAGAACUUUUGAAAAUUUACGAACAAUUCAAGAAAAUCGAGAACAAAAAAUUGAAAAUUCUGAACAAAAUUUGACAAACGCGAAACCCUUUUUCAAACCAUAAACAAUUUUUCAAAUUUGAACAAACUUUUCAAACGUGAAUAAUCAUUAGAAAGUUGAACAAAAAUUUCGAAAUUCCAAAAAGAUGAACAAUUUUUUAAAUAUACAUUGAACAUUUUUGCAUUAUACGCUGAACAAUUUUAAAUACAUACUGAACAUUUUUAUGAUAUACACCGAAUUAUUUUUUUGAAAAUACAUUGAACAUUUCUGUAAUGUACGUUGAACAAAUUUUGAAUUGUGAACAAAAUUUAAAAACAUAAAUUUUUUAUGAAAUCAUGAAGAAAAUACGAAAUUUCAAACUUUUUUGAAACAACGGACGAAAAUAAAAAUAAAAAGGAUAAAAUAAGAAUAGGAGUAAAAAAGAAAAAGAAACAGAAUAAAUAAACUGAAGAAGAAAAGAAUAAAGAAACAGGAAGAACAGAAAACCGGCAAAAGAGAAAAAAAAAAGAAACCGGUUUAGGGAACCUUCUGCAUUAACUAGCGAAGUGGGCCGGCCCAUCUCGCGCAGCUACUCCCGCGCUUCAGCGAAGCCACUUCUCCUCGACGCACGCGAGCGUCAAAUAGAACCACCUACCCGGGGCGCCCCUAUUUCUCGCGUUACGCGAGCGGAGGGAACACGCUCGCGUCGGGGCGAGCCACAGACGGGCCGGCCCAGCCACGCGGGAGCCACAACCUGUUUUUUUUUUCGUUUUCUAUUCUCGUUUUUGUUUGUUAUUUUUGUACUUUUCUUUAUACUUUCAAGUAUUCUUCAAAUAUUCUCGUUUUCUAUUCUUGAAAAGAUGUUGAAUAAGUAUUAAAAAAGUUGAACAAGAAUUUAAAAAAUGUUGAAUAAGUAUUAAAAAUGUUGAAUAAGUACUUGAAAAUGUUGAAUAGAUAUUAAAAAUGUUGUACUAGUAUAUUAAAAAUGUUGAACAAGUAUUUGAAAAUGUUAAAUAAAUGUUGAACAAGUAUUUUAAAAGUGUUGAAAUAGAUAUUAAAAAAUGUUGAAAGAGUAUAGAAAAAUGUUGAACAAGUAUUUGAAAUUGCUGAAUAAGUAUUAAAAAUGUUGAAAAAGUAUUUCAAAAAAUGCUAAAUAACUAUUAAAGUGUUGAACAGGUAUUUGGAAAAUGUUGAAAUAGCGUUAGGAUAAUGUUGAGCAUGUAUACAAAAAAUAUUUUUGACAUGUACAAAAAUAAAGAGUGAAGACGAAGAAAAACAUAAGAAAACACAAAAGAAAAAUAACAAAUGGAGAAGAAAAAUGAAAACCAAACAAAAAAUAGAGAAAAAAGAAAACUAAAAAGAUUGAAUUAAAUCAGAGAAUAAAGGAAAAAAGAAUGAGAAAAAGAAAGAAGAAAAAAAUAAAUGAAAUAAAAGAAAAGGAAAAAAAGUAAAAAGAAAAAUGGAGAAGACCGGCUUGGUGGCAUCUAGUAGUCCUCGAUCCUAUAACCAACUAGUAACAUGAGAUAGACGGAGUGGUUUGCUGCUCAGGUGAAAGCCUAGGAGACCAGGGUUUGAUUCUAGGGGAUGGCGCGUUUAUUCCUGACUUUCUGAAUCUGUGCGCGACAUGAACAGUGUUGCUGGCCCAACACUGUGGACUCGCUUAAUGCGACAAAUAGUCGCUGCAGUAUAGCCGCGCCCGUCUACGUAUAGUUCUCUCACGCGCCAUGCAGCAGGCCUUGUACCAUUAGGUUAGUUGUCUCAAUUUUUUUAUUUGCGCUAUCAGCUGAGAGUGGUUGGCACUCACACUACUCCACCGCCUGCAUGACCGUUGACUUCAAAAAAAUUCUUCAUAGAUUUUAUUUGAUAAUUUGAAUGCAAGAUUGCGGAUUUGAAAAGGUUUAUAAUUUGAAUAAUGCUUGUGAAUUUGAAAAUUGUUCAUGGAUUUAAAAAUCAUAUUUUUUAAAAAACCAUGAAUUUAAAAUCAGAAAAAGAGAAAAAGGGAAUUAGGAGAAAAAACGACCAAACAAUAAACCGGCAGAGAAGCAACGAAAAGAAAAAAAACAAGCAUUGUACACCAAAUGCUAAAUAUUACCCAAAAGGAAAAUUUUUAGAUACAGUUUUCACAUCUGAUGCUUCUCCGGUAUGGAGAGGAAUUGAAUAUGGGCUUGAACUCCUAAAACAGGGCAUGGUCUGGAGGGUAGGUGAUGGAAAAAGUAUUCAAAUAAUGCGGGAUAACUGGAUUCCUCGUCUUUCGGGCCUCUCGAUCCAGACCAUGAAGUGUAGGAGCAGGCUCAGAUGGGUCCAUCAAUUAAUUGAUCCUCAAUCUAAAGAAUGGAACAAGCAAAUCAUUGACAAUUUGUUCUUCAGUUUUGAUGCUGAGGAGAUCUACAAAAUCAGACUUCCCUUUAUUCCUAUAAAAGAUAUUCUCGCAUGGAACUAUGAAAAAAAUGGUAUGUUCUCGGUAAGAAGUGCCUACAAGCUGGGUAAGGCUUUGCAGGAUGGACCAGGUGUAAGUUCCUCGGCAAUCUAUGGUAAUGGCAGGGAAAGCUUAUGGAAUUUAGUUUGGAAAGUUAAAGUUCCUCACAAAAUUCGUAUUUUUGCUUGAAGAACUGCCACUGACUCUCUGCCCACUGUCGGAGUAAAUAGCCAUAGGUAGCCUAGCCGGCUUCACCUGGCUCUUCUGAAAAAAUUACGAGCCCGUCCGGCUCUCAAGAAUCCAAGACACGGGGCCGCCUUCCCCUUGCUGACUGUCACCCAGGCCGGCUUUCGGAAGGCGGCCCGACUUUAGCCCUCAUGAAGAAAGCCAUGGGAGGGCCGACUUCGAGAAGCCGGCCGCGAGGAGGCCGACUCCAAGAAGCCGGCUCCCACAAAGCGGUCGAGACCGUACCCUCAAAGUUUGCAUCCACCUAACGGCGGUGCGACGGGGCGUGGCUAUAGUAAAGCCUGCCACCCCCGAAUCUUGGAGCACGCGUGGCACAGUGCGCCGUACGGAGUGGGCAUGACCCGUCCGGCGUGGCACUGUUGCCAUGUUGACCCUGAUGUCACCCCCGACGGGCCGCCAGCGCGGCCCACGAGCGGUGGGUCCCUUCGGGCAGAGAGACACCCGAAGGCGGCCACGCCUCCCCCAGUCGGCCCAAGACGGAGCCGGCUCCCCGCAGCCGGCUUGCCGCCUUCCUUGAAGGAGACGCCCCAUUAAGGAGACAAGACGCGGUGAGGCUACAGCGAUCGCCCGCCAGGCGGCGGCACUGUAGCCACGCCUACCACGACGAAGCCCACGUCACCAAGAUGGAGCAAUAGUAACCAGCCGCCGACCAGGUCCUGGACAGUGGGGCCUGCCUGUUGACCAAGGGGCCGGCAGCCGGCGGGGCCCACCAGUCGGCGGGCCCCAGCAGCCGGCGCAGAAGCCGGCGAGCGCAGUCACAGAUGGUUGGGCCCCGCGCCUAGUCGGAUUACCAUUGUACCUCCGGGGGGUAGGCCUAUAUAAACCCCUCGGAACACCCAUGCAAAGGGUUCGACCCCCAGCUAGUUUUAGACACCUCACAAGGAGAAGAAGCAAGCUAGUCGCGCCCCUCUUCCCCCUCCCACCGAACAGCUCAAGGAGCAUUGUGUAGCUACUCGUCCAUCUAGUGAUCAUGCGGAGACCCCGCAGAGCAGCAAUAGGGGUGUUAUCUCCGCAGAGAGCCCCGAAGCUGGGUAAGAUUCACCGGCGAGCAUGUCUUCGCCUCACCCCGUUUCCAGGCACCGGCGACGUCUUACUGGCUCCCACAAUGAUAAGCCACCCGUUGGCAUAUGUCGCACCUACCACCCGAUAUUUGGCGCCCACCAUGGGGCCAGGUGCACUGUCGUCCGGAGACCUGUUCUGGACGGGAACCCUCUUCCUCCCCAGCGAGCGUAGCCAGCCCGGCACACCUGAUGGCCCUUGCCACGACGCGCUGCAAGGCGUCACCAGCAUCUGCACGGCGAGCAGCCUCGCCAAUCUCCUUGACGAAACCCUCAUCUCCGACGAGCUCGCCUCCGAUGCGGGCACCGACCACCUCGCCAACCUCCUCGGCUAUCUCCAUGUCUCCAGCGAGCCAGCUGUGGAUCUGGAGUCAGUUGGCUCCACCGACCCGAUGCCUGUCGACUCCGACACGGCCUCCUUCGACACCUUCCCCACCAACGUCACGAUCUACAACGACCCGCUUCCUUGGACCGAUGGCCGCGAUACUGUCACCACCGAAGUGAUGGUCGUCGGCCACGGCGGCCUGCCCGACGAGAGCGCCCACGACGCCCCGCACGCGGCGGCCCACGACUUGUCCAUCGCCCUCCCGGCUAAUGCCGACGACGAAGCACUGGAGGCAUGCCGCCUCGCCCUCCUUGCAGAGGGCCGGAGGCCGGCUUCCGUGAGACGCCUCACAGAGGCCUACCAGCGCGAAGCUGACCGCGCCGCCUUCGACACGCCAGCCUCGGGCGGGCCAAGCCAGGCCGGCCUUGUCAAGAAACGCGGCGCCGUCAUCGCCGACACGCUGGGGGUCGACCGCCCGGUCUAUGCCACUCCGCUCGAGAACUUGCGUGCCGCCCAGGCGGCCGUAGACGAGUUGGACGGCUUGGAGGCCGAAGACCUCCCCCACAUGACCCGGCGCAUCCAGCAACUGAUUGACGCGGCCGCACGGCGGCACGAAGCCGACGCCCGCGCGGGAAGCCCUCCCCCGCGCCGAGAUCACGGUGUGACGUCCCGGACACCGACUACGAGCAACGCCCGCGUGUGGCGCGAGAAAGAGCCGGCGGCCAGCCGAAGCCGGACCCGGAUCUCCAUCAAGCGAGACGCGGACGGCCAUCCCCGAGCCAUGGAAUGGCGGGGCAACCAGCCUCCACCUCGACCCCGUGGAGAGAGAUAUCCCACCCCGCCACCAGUGGCGCACCCGACUCAGCGGCCGACUAGGUCGCCGCGAAGGAGUCGGCGAGAACGACGCCCGCCAUCGGAUCGACCGCCUGGCGCGAUCCCUGGCGCUGGAAGAAGAAGACUAUGUCGGCCCGCCUUGUUUCGGCCCCCGCAUCCGCGACGAGCCUUUUCCCAAAGGGUUCUCGCUCCCAAGAGACACGCCCAAGUACAACGGCUCCGUGAAGCCGGAAGAUUGGUUGAUCGACUACUCCACGGCGGUCAGCAUAGCCAACGGCAACCGGCAUGUUGCCGUGAAGUACGUGCCCCUCAUGCUGCAAGGCACGGCGCGGACCUGGCUCAACAGCCUCAAGCCUCUCAGCAUCAACAGCUGGCUAGAUUUCACCGAAGCUUUCAUCCGCAACUUCACCAGCACCUACAAGCAGGCCCCCAAGCCCAGGCAGCUCUCCCUGUGCGUACAGGGCCCGGCCGAGUCCACUCGCGACUACCUCACGCGUUGGGCCGAGCUCCGCAAUUCUUGCGAGGGGGUGCACGAGGUGCAAGCCAUCGAAUACUUCACUGCCGGGUGCCGAGAAGGUACUCUCCUCAAGCACAAGCUCCUCUGCGCCGACUACCCUCGACGAGCUUCUGGACAUAGCCGACAAAUACGCCACUGCCGACUCUUCGAUGAAGACCGAGCUUCGGGUAGAUGCGUCCGGGAAAGUACUCAACCCGGCGCCCAAGACGCUGGCAGGGGAUUCCGGCCGACGCCCACACCCGAACGACCAUAAGCGCAAGGGCCCUGCGCCGCCUCCCGUUAGUCGGCAGUUGGCCACGGUCGAAGACGCGCCGCCUGAAGGGCGACCCGCGCCCAAGAAGCCCAAGGGCGACCCGCGCCCAAGAAGCCCAAGGGCGGCCGGCCGGCUUGGCAGCCGGCUUUCUCCUACGAGCAAACUCUCGACGCCCCGUGCAAAUUCCAUAGCGGCGCAAAGCCAUCCAACCACACAACCCGGAAGUGCCAUUGGCUCACCCGAAUCUCUAAAGGAGAGGGGCUCGUGCCGCCUCCGCCUCCGCCGCCUCCGGCCGCUCGGCCCGCAGUCGGAGCCGUGCAUGACGAAUUCCCUGACGAGCAAGCAACCUACAUCGUCUUUACAAGCCAGCUCGAAGACCGGCGCAGCAAACGCCGAGAGCACCAGGAAGUCAGCGUGGUCGCUACCAACCCCGCCGGACACAUGCAUUGGUCCAAAAAGCCCAUCAGCUGGAGCCGGGCCGACCAUCCAGAAGUGAUGCCGUCUCCCGACUCUUAUGCGUUGGUCCUGGAAGCCACCCUCGCGACGGACAGACGCGCUGCCCGCUUCUCCCGCGUGCUGAUAGACGGCGGGAGCAGCAUCAACAUCCUGUACCGUGACACCCUGGAGAAGCUAAAUGUCAAGACGAAGCAGCUAAUGCCGACUCGGACAGUGUUUCAUGGCAUCGUACCCGGAUUAUCCUGCGCCCCCAUUGGCAAGAUCAAGAUUGAUGUACUUUUUGGGGACAAGGAGCAUUUCCGUCGGGAAGCGAUCUGGUUUGAAGUGGUGGACCUGGAGAGCCCUUACCAUGCGUUGCUUGGCCGACCCGCCUUGGCCAAAUUCAUGGCAGUUCCCCACUAUGCAUACCUCAAGAUGAAGAUACCAAGCACCAAAGGCGUCAUCACCGUAGCCGGCGAUUACAAGAAGUCUUCCGAGUGUGCUGCCGCCAGCAGCCGGCUGGCCGAGUCCCUUGUGAUUGCCGAAGAGAAGAAGAUGUUGGACCGGGUCGUGGCCCUGGCCAGCAAGCAGCCGAACCAGUCCCCCGACCCCAAGGAGUAUGAUGCCCAAGGAUCUUUCCAGCCGGCCAAACAAACCAAGAAGAUACCCCUUGACCCCGAGCACCCCGAGAGGUUUGCCGUCAUCGGGGUAAGCCUGAACAACAAAUAGGAAGGCGAGCUCGCCGAUUUCCUCCGUGAGAAUCGGGACAUCUUUGCAUGGUCCCCCAAGGACAUGCCGGGUGUUCCGAAGGAAUUCGCCAAGCACAAGUAAACAUCCGAAAAGACGCGAAACCAGUCAAGCAGCCCCUCCGCCGACUUUCAGAGGAAAAGAGAAGGAUCGUAGGGGAGGAGAUAGCCCGGCUUCUGGCAGCCGGCUUCAUUAUGGAAGUCUUCUUUCCAGAGUGGCUUGCCAACUCAGUCCUUGUGUUAAAGAAGAACAACAAGUGGCACAUGUGUAUAGACUACACAAGCCUCAAGAAGGCCUGCCCUAAAGAUCCCUUCGCCCUGCCGAGGAUUGACCAAGUGAUAGACUCCACGGCCGGAUGCGAGCUGUUGAGUUUCUUGGAUGCUUACUCAGGAUAUCACCAGAUAAAGCUAGAUCCGGACGACCGCCUGAAGACCGCCUUCAUCACGCCAUUUGGAGCCUUCUGCUACCUGACUAUGACAUUCGGCUUGAGAAAUGCCGGUGCCACUUUUCAGCGUUGCAUGCAGAAGUGCCUCCUCAAGCAACUCAGCAGAAACGCUUACGUCUAUGUGGACGACAUUGUGGUGAAGACGGAGAAGCGCGGCACCCUGCUGGAAGACCUCAAAGAAAUAUUUGAGAACCUACGCCGGUUCCAAAUCAAGCUCAACCCCGAGAAAUGCGUGUUUGGAGUGCCAGCCGGCCAGCUCCUAGGCUUCCUGGUCUCCGAGACGCGGCAUCGAAUGCAACCUGGUGAAGAUCAAGGCCAUCGAGAGAAUGGCGAUCCCCACCAAGCUUCGAGACAUCCAAAAGUUCACCGGAUGCUUGGCCUCCUUGAACCGCUUCAUCAGCCGGCUCGGAGAGAAAGCUCUCCCCCUCUACCGCCUCAUGAAGAAGAGCACCCACUUCGAGUGGAACGACCAGGCCGACCAAGCUUUUCACAAGCUGAAGAAGAUGCUGGCCACGCCGCCUGUCCUAGCAGUGCCGAUUGAGAAAGAGCCCAUGCUCCUUUACAUUGCCGCAACCAGCCGCGUGGUCAGCACCGUCAUCGUAGUCCAACGCCCAGAAGAAGGCCGAGCCCAGCUGGUCCAGAGGCCGGUGUAUUAUUUGAGCGAGGUGUUGUCCGCUUCAAAGCAGAACUACCCACACUACCAGAAGAUGUGUUACGGCGUGUACUUCACCACCAAGAAGCUGAAGCACUACUUUCAAGAGCACCCCGUCACGGUCGUAUGCACCGCCCCGCUGGCCGAGAUCAUAGGCAGUCGGGACGCAUCCGGCCGGGUGGCGAAAUGGGCCAUCGAGCUGGCCCCUUACACAAUCUUCUACCAGCCCCGCACCGCCAUCAAGUCCCAAGCACUGACCGACUUCCUCGUCGACUGGGCCGAGACCCAGUACCUGCCGCCGGCUCCCGACUCCACCCAUUAGCGCAUGCACUUUGACGGGUCCAAGAUGCGCACCGGCUUAGGAGCCGACGUCGUCCUUACCUCUCCCAAAGGCGACAAGCUCAGAUACACGCUGCAGAUUCACUUUGCCGCCUCCAACAACGUGGCCGAGUACGAGGCGCUCAUACACGGGCUCCGGCUUGCCAAAGAACUCGGUAUUCGCCGGAUCCUAUGUUAUGGCGACUCGGACUUGGUGGUCCAGCAAUCAUCCGGCGACUGGGAUGCCAAGGACGCAAAUAUGGCGAGCUACCGUUUCCUGGUUCAACAACUCAGUGGAUACUUUGAAGGAUGCGAGUUCCUUCACGUACCGCGAGCCGACAACGAGCCAGCCGAUGCCCUGGCUCGAAUAGGCUCCACUCGGCAAGCCUCCUCAAGCCGUCUAUCAAGCCAUCUCCAGAGUCCGAUUCCAUCUUCGUACCGCCUGACCCCGACGCGGCCGGGUCCGGCUCGAAGAACCAAGUAGUCGGCCCGGGGACUUCGGCAACCGGCUCGGGGACUGCCACACCCGGCUCGGGGACUACAGUAGCCAGCCCGGGGACUGCACCAGCACAACAGCCGGCGGCCGACUCCAGCAUUUCACCACCCAGCCCGCCCACCCUGGUGGCAGUAGCCACAUUGGCAGUAGGAGAGGUCGCGGCUCCGUCAUGGGCUCAGUCCAUCCUCAACUUCCUAGUAAACCAAGAUCUGCCGGCUGACGAAACAGAGGCAAGACAAGUCCAACGUCGAGCCGGAGCAUACACAAUCGUCAACAGAGAACUCGUCAAGCGCAGUGUCACUGGAGUCCUCCAACGGUGCGUCGAGCAAGAGAAGGACAUUGCAAUCCUCAGAGACAUUCACCAAGGAGAAUGCGGCCACCAUGCGGCUUCAAGAUCCCUCGUCGCCAAAGCUUUCCGCCAUGGUUUCUUCUGGCCGACUGCUUUGGAUGACGCCAAAGAAUUAGUCAAAUAUUGCAAAGGGUGCCAACUCUUCAGCUCCAAGCAACACAUGCUGGCUUCAGCACUCAAGACCAUUCCCCUCUCCUGGCCCUUCGCCGUUUGGGGACUGGACAUGGUGGGACCAUUCAAGACGGCGUGCGGCGGCAUGACGCAUUUGCUCAUCGCCGUGGACAAAUUCACCAAAUGGAUUGAGGCAAAGCCGAUCAAGAAGCUGAAUGGGUCGACUGCUGUGACAUUCAUCGCAGAUAUAACAACUCGGUACGGUGUGCUACACAGCAUCAUCACCGACAAUGGCACGAAUUUUGCCAAAGGAGCCUUGGCACGUUUCUGCGCAGCCCAAGGUAUCCGGCUGGACUUAGCGUCCGUCGCCCACCCGCAGUCAAACGGCCAGGUCGAGCGAGCCAACAGCCUCAUCCUCUCCAGCAUCAAGCCCCGACUGGUCGUACCUCUGGAGCGUUCAGCCGGCUGUUGGCUCGAUGAGCUGCCGGCUAUCCUCUGGAGUCUGCGCACUACGCCAAACAAGUCAACCGGCUUCACCCCUUUCUUCCUUGUGUAUGGUGCUGAGGCGGUCAUCCCAACUGAUAUCGAGUUUGACUCGCCUCGGGUAACCAUGUACACUGAGGCGGAGGCCAAGGAAGCACGAGAAGACGGCGUCCACCUGCUGGAAGAAGGCCGGCUGUUAGCCCUCAGCCGGUCUGCCAUCUACCAGCAGGGUUUGCGCCGCUACCACCGUCGGAAGGUCAGGCCAAGAUCUUUCCAAGAGGGCGAUCUUGUGCUCCGGCUGAUCCAGCGAACAGCCGGCCAGCACAAGCUCUCGGCCCCUUGGGAGGGUCCCUUCGUCACCAGCAGAGCUUUAGGCAACGACUCCUACUACCUGAUCGACACGCAGAAGCCGAAGGCACGAAAGAGAGACGACUCCGGCAAGGAGUCGGAACGACCAUGGAACGCCAACCUCCUUCGAAGAUUUUACAGUUGAAAUGCAGUAUGUAUCACGCUAACUUUUGUACUAAGUACGAGACAAUAGGCCCCCCGAGGAGGGCUCGGGGACUGCCAUCUUUUAUCUAUGAAUGAAAAGUAUCAUGCUUAUGACCUUGUCAUUUCAUUUACUUGUUCCGUCCGGCACAGGGUUCGACUAGUCGGCCCGGGGACUGGCUGACUGGAGUUAUAUUAGAAGUCCUACCCGCGGUCAGGCAAGUAGUGUGCCAACACCCAGGCUUAGCUCUUGCCAAAGUCGCAGUUCGAAGAACCGUCUGUCCGGCUGGCAAGAGUCAAAAGCAGGAAAGGAUGCCCACACGAAAAAUGGCCAGGGACCAACGGACUAAUAUAACGAAAGUCGGUUCGCCGUCUACCACCGACCGACUACCAGAGUAGCCGGCCGGCCGGUUUCCGUUCACUUCACUUCAAUCCAAGAAAGCUCGAGUACUUGCCUCCCCAAAGAGGGAAGGCGGCAAAGGAAAAAGCCUAAGGAUAAAAAGCAUACGCGAAUGGAAACCAAACAUGCACAUAAUAAUAUUUACAUAAAAGACCUCCAAGAGGCCAGCAUUCAACAUAGUUUGGAUACACCCCCAGUGGGUGGAACUGCGAAAGCUUAAUAAAGAUUGUUCAAAAGGCAACAAGCAAGAAAAAUAAGGACGGCAGGUCAAGCUGGCGGAGCGACCGACGAGCCGGGCCGGUCGACGGAGACGGUUGUGCCGGCUGAAGGAGCGGCCGGCUGGCAAACCUCGGCUUGAUCACCGCCUCCCGCAGGGGGCGCGCUUCCACGCGCCUCGUUGCUGGAGGCACGGUCAGCUUGAGGACGGCCGGUUGUUCCACUAGCCGGCUCGACGUCUUCGCCGUCCUCUUCUUCGUCAUCCUUGCCCUCGUCGCUGGAGGCGAUCUCCUCUGCCGAGUCUUCGCCCACCGCCGGGUUCAGCCCGAACCACUCCUCCGGCUGGGCAACGCCGUCAUCAUUGAUUUCAGGUGCAAAAACGCUGAUGUCGGUGCACUCGGCGAUCGUCGAAGCAUGCUGGGCGAUAGCCGACCACACCUCCUCCAGCUCCGCGUCAGCCUCCAGCCGCCAAGUGCGCAGCUGCUCCAGGUUCAGCCCUGGGUACGAAGCCCGAACGAACUCCAAUGCCCGCCCGGCUCCAAGACGGGCCGCCGACGCUUUCCAAGCUUCAAAGCGACCGACUGCGACCUCCAGCCAGUCGGCAGUCCGGCUUGAGGUGCGGGGGAUCGUCUCGCCGGGCCAGAGGGCGGCCAACACCUGCGCCCCGGCAUGUUGGAGCCGGCGAAGCAUCCGAUGAGCCGGCUGCAACCGCGCCUGGACAGCCAAGAGCUGCUCCUCAAGCGUCCGGUUCGUGUCCGGCGCGAUGUUGGCCCCCGCCUGACGGCGCGCUUCGCGAUGGGCCUUGAUGGUUUGAGCGGCGAAGGCGGAGUAGCCGGGAAAGUAGUCUGCACAGGAAAAUAGGCAGCAGCACAAGUCAAGCCAAAAACCAGGCGGCAAGGGGCAGGAGAGGAGCGAGGAAGACGGCUUACCGUCGAUCAAGUCCUCGAUGCGGCCGAAGCCUUCAUCCAGCGCUCGCCGGGUCUCAGCCCAGCUCGCCGCCUCGGUCUCAAACUCUGCCUUCAGGGCGGCCUCGCCAUCCUGCGCUUUCUGCAGGGCCGCCUUGUGGCUCGCCUCCUAGUCAGCCAGCUUCUUGGCCAGGCGGUCACGCUCCUGGACCAAGGCAGCGCACUCAGCAUCCUUGGUAUGAAGGGCGGCCUGCGCUUCGCCGAGCUCCUUCCUCAAGUCGGCGUUGGCCCCUGAAGACAAAGAAAAAGAAAAACCAAUAAGGAAAAAGUCGUCAAGGAAGAUUCGACCCGACUGCUCAGCAGUCGGCUGACGCGCUACCACAGGAGACAGACAAGAUCAAGCACUUACUUCGGCUGUCGGCCAGGUCGUCGGUCCUCCGACCCAACUCCCGAGCCUAGGAGUUGAAGGCGGCAGCACGGGAGUUAUGAUAUUCCUGGAAGUUCAGACAGGAAGCAAAAAUAAGGUAGUCGUCAAGAAAGAUCUGACCCGACUGCGCAGCAGUCGACCCGAAUCUCAGAGACUACACCCAGUGGGUGCGCUGACGCGCCCCCACAGAAGAAAUCAAGAGACCAAAGCGGCCAAGAAUGAAAGACUCACCCGGAUGGCGGCCCGCAUCGACAGGAACUCCUGGGUGUACUGCUGCAGCAGGGCGGCCUGAGCUUGAAGCCGGCUCCGGACCUCUUGAGCCGCCACAUUCAGCUCGCCAGUCCCCCCGCUGGGGGUCCACUCGGACGUGGCGGUGCUGGCCGUCUCCAGAGCCUCCAACGACUGACCGGCGCCCGCGACUCGGCGUGACUCCGGCGGAGCAGCGCCUUCCCCUGCGCACCGACGCGUCACCGGCUCCACCUCGAGGCCGGCUCUGUCCUCCGGCUCACCCCCGGCCGGCUCCUCUGGCGUCGCUGACGAUUGGCCACCUUGGCCCGCUUCGGUUGGUGCUGCCGGCGGCGCUCUCCUCGCGAAGGCCACGAGGUCCUCCCUCCUCUCCAUCAGCGGCGGGUCUUGGACGAUUUCCUCUGCCAGGGGCAAUGGGGUGUCAGGGGCCACGGCUCGGAGGGGAAUGGCGAGCAGCGGAGGCUGGUUGCGCGAACCCUCCGCCUCCGUUUCCGCGGUCGCCGCCUCCGCCUGGGCUUUGGCUGCCACGUCGGCCUGCUCCCUCGCCGCCUGGGCAGCCGCCUUCUCCGCCGCUUCACGCUCCUCCCGCGCCUCACGGGCGUUCCACUCCGUGGCCUCCCUGAGGUCGGCGCGGGGGUCCACGCGGCGGGAGCUCGAAGACCCUCCAGUCGGCCCAACUAUGAAGCCGCCCGGACCCCGCUCCAGGGAAAGCCGCGCCCUGUCCAGCAAGCGGAAAAGGUUAGGAAGAAUGUUCGAACAAGAGAGAACGAUGAAAAGCAUGCGACAAGGCAGUCGAUGACUUACGCUGAGACCGCCUGAGGCUGCUUCACCGCCUUGCGGAAGCGGGCCGCUUUCGCGGCCGCCUUGUCUCGUUUGGUCGCCGCGGUGGAGGCUUUGGACUUCUUCGGCCAACUGCCGAAGAGGAUUGACGCGGCCCGACGCUUCUGUGCGCCGCCGCUGGCAGCCAGCACGAUGGACGAGCCCGCGCCUUGAUGGUCGGCCGCCAGCUGGCGACGCGGGGCGACUUCGGCUUCGACGUCAUCUGGCCAGUCCUCGAAGCUGGCGGUGAACCUUGUGCCUCCGGGCUCGGCGUCGUCCCCCACGACGGCGUCUUCCAUGGCGCCCGCCCCCAAAUCCGGGUCGUCGACGUCGUCCGCCGUGCGGUCGGGGGCGUACUCGCGCUCUAUCCCUGCUGCCCCGGUCGUCGGCGGAAGAAGGGGGUUCUGCUAAGAAGAACCGACCAAUCAGAAGCCGGCCAUCAUAAAGCCGGCUACCAACAGAAAGAAGAAAGAGAGGAAAGCUUACCACGAGCGGAGGGUUGGCGCGAGAAUACGGCGCCUUGCCGUAUCGCCAGUCCUCGGCGAGCUUGCAAUUGGAGAUAUAAUUUACCAUAUACGACACCUCCGCAUGAGGCAUCUCCCUGGUGCUCAGCCGGCUUGGAUCAAAGCGGCCACUCAUCUGACACAUCAUGUGGGGCCGGCUUUGGAGAGGAGAUAUCCGGCGCUCCACGAAGGCGGUCACCAAGUCGGCCCCGCUCAGGCCUUCCGACUGGAUCAUCACCCGAAGCCAGGAGACGGCAGCAUUCCCGGCCUGAGACAGUGACCGGGACUGGAAACUCCAUGAGGGCUGCCUCCCAGCCGGCGGGCCGGCUACGUAAGCCGGUAGGUUGACGUGGUCUCCUUGCUAGGCGACGUUCUUCACAUAGAAGUACGACUUCUGCCAGAUCUUCACCGACUGGAUCAGGGGGAUGGGCGGGAAUGGGUUGUUCUCGCCCGCCCUCCUCAUGGCGAUGAAGGCCCCGCAGGGAGCGGGCACGCCUGCGACGACGGUGCCGAGUUUGCUCUGGAAGAAUUCCCCCCAGAGCUCCAGCGUGGGAAGCAGCCCCAAGAAACCUUCGCAGAGAGAGACGAAGGCCGACAGCAGCAUCACCGCGUUGGGCGUGAGGUGAUGCGGCUGAAGAUUGUAGAACUCGAGGAAGGAGCGUAGGAAUCCGCUCGCCGAAAGGCCGAAGCCACGCAGGAAGUGCGAGCAGAAGACGACCCGCUCGCCCUCCUCCGGCGCCGGCGAGAUCUCCGUCUCUGGCGCCAGGCGGACCCGCACGAGGUUGGCAUCGGGCAGGCACCGAGUCUGGCGGAGGAACUCAACAUGGUCCUCAUGGACGUUGGAGCCGUCCCACGAGCUCGACAGCGCCAUGAGAGCAAGACGAUGUGGCGGCGCGGCGGCGCUGAGACGGGAAGCUGCGGCGGCAAUGAGAGGAAGAAAGGAGGACGAGAAGGGGCGGAGCAAGAGAGAGCGUGCGAACCUCUGUCUCUCCCCCUUCUCCCCCUACUUAUAGGCUUGCGUGGCAGAGCCGAGGAGGCGCGGCGUGGGGAAACGUGGGGAUCGAUCGUGCCCACUCCCUCACGUCCCGCGUUUAUUGCGCCCUAACGGCGAAAUAAAAUCGCCGCGGGAAGGCGAGCGGUCCACCUGGGCCGCAGAAGAUCAGCGUUCGGGCCGAGGCCUAGGAGUGGCGGGCCUGGGCCUGCGGCGGCGUCCCGUCGCGCGCGUGCAUCGGCAGGGUCUCGCUGCCACGUGGCCCGCGGGAGGGCCCGCGGUUAGCACGCGGGUCGACCACUUUCCCGCCUGCCAAACGCAGGGCUCCCCGAAAUCGGCAUACACCAGCAAAGCCGGCUCUUCAAGAUAGGAAGCUGACCAAGCUUCUCGUCCCUUUGUCCGCCUCGAAGCUCGAUCAGCUUCGGGGACUACUGUCGGAGUAAAUAGCCAUGGGUAGCCUAGCCGGCUUCCCCUGGCCCUUCUGAAAAAAUUACGAGCCCGUCCGGCUCUCAAGAAUCCAAGACAUGGGGCCGCCUUCCCCUUGCUGACUGUCACCCAGGUCGGCUUUCGGAAGGCGGCCCGACUUUAGCCCUCAUGAAGAAAGCCAUGGGAGGGCCGACUUCGAGAAGUCGGCCGCGAGGAGGCCGACUCCAAGAAGCCGGCUCCCACAAAGCGGUCGAGAUCGUACCCUCAAAGUUUGCAUCCACCUAACGGCGGUGCGACGGGGCAUGGCUACAGUAAAGCCUGCCACCCCCGAAUCCCGAAGCACGCCUGGCACAGUGCGCCGUACGGAGUGGGCAUGACCCGUCCGGCGCGGCACUGUUGCCAUGUUGACCCUGAUGUCACCCCGACGGGCCGCCAGCGCGGCCCACGGGCGGUGGGCCCCUUCGGGCAGAGAGACACCCGAAGGCGGCCACGCCUCCCCCAGUCGGCCCAAGACGGAGCCGGCUCCCCGCAGCCGGCUUGCCGCCUCCCUCGAAGGAGACGCCCCAUUAAGGAGACAAGAUGCGGUGAGGCUACAGCGAUCGCCCGCCAGGCGGCGGCACUGUAGCCACGCCUACCACGACGAAGCCCGCGUCACCAAGAUGGAGCAACAGUAACCAGCUGCCGACCAGGUCCUGGACAGUGGGGCCUGCCUGUCGACCAAGGGGCCGGCAGCUGGCGGGGCCCACCAGUCGGCGGGCCCCAGCAGCCGGCGCAGAAGCCGGCGAGCGCAGUCACAGACGGCUGGGCCCCGCGCCCGGUCGGAUUACCAUUGUACCCCCGGGGGGUAGGCCUAUAUAAACCCCCCCGGAACACCCAUGCAAAGGGUUCGACCCCCAGCUAGUUUUAGACACCUCACAAGGAGAAGAAGCAAGCUAGCCGCGCCCCUCUUCCUCCUCCCACCGAACAGCUCAAGGAGCAUUGUGUAGCUACUCGUCCAUCUAGUGAUCAUGCGGAGACCCCGCAGAGCAGUAGUAGGGGUGUUAUCUCCGCGGAGAGCCCCGAAGCUGGGUAAGAUUCGCCGGCGUGCAUGUCUUCGCCUCACCCCGUUUCCAGGCACCGGCGACAUCUUACAGGCUCCCACAAUGAUAAGCCACCCGUUGGCAUAUGUCGCACCUACCACCCGACACCCACAAAGGAGAAUAAGCACAAAAGGACACUUGAAUUGGAUGGAGUUUGCAAGGUCUGUGGAAAUGCAUUCCAUGCUACAGUGGCCUGCACAAAGCAAAGAGCACUCAGAGAGGAAAUGUGGAAAUACUGGAAUCUGCCAGAUGAAAAAUCUCUCAUGGCCUUUUCCCCCGAGUGGCUAUUACAAAGCUUAAGUUUGUGUUCAGGAGAUAUGAGAGAAAAAUUCCUACUUGUUUUGUGGAGAUCUUGGCAUUUGAGGGAUGAUGCCAUUCACAGUAAAGGAGAAGCUUCUAUCAGAGAUUCGGUGUUGUUUUUAAAAUCCUACUGGGAGUGCUUGAACUCUGAAAUCCCUGUUGUAAAUGAUAGUAAAGGUAAAUAGAAACUGCAUGAAAUUUCAGUGCCAGCUCCUAGUAUCCCUCGACCUGACACUGGCUGGACAAAACCUCCUGAGAAGUACAUUAAAAUCAACAUUGAUGCGUCCUUCAUACCCUCCUUGGGUUUAACUGCUGUGGGUGCCAUUGGUAGAGACAGUUUGGGUGCUGUUUUAUUCUCGGCAGGCUGUCGUUCUCAGGGUUGCACAGAUGCGGAGGAAUCUGAAUCUUGGGCACUAUCCUUUGGACUAAGACAAGCUAGCAAUUUGUCACUAAACCAUAUUCUGGUGGAAUCUGACUGCUCUGCCGUGGUGUCUACAGUUUCCGACGGCAACAUUAGCAGAACCAGGUGGUGGGCAAGCUAUGAGGAGUCAAAGAGAUUGAUGAGAGGUUUUGAGUCUUGUAAUGUGACCAAAACUUAUAGGGAGUGCAAUGUGGCCGCACAUGAGUUAGCUACGUAUGCUAGAAUCCAAGGUGAUUUUCUUUUCUUAGCUGAUGUGCCACAUAGUGUGAAACAUGUAAUCAUGUCCGACUGUAUACCUGGAUAAAUGAAAUGCAAGGCUCCCUUUAUCCUCAAAAAAAAACCUAAUAGGAAAACCAUCCUGAAAAAAAAAGAACCGAACCAAUUUUGUGGUUUUUGGUUUCGGUAUGGUACGUUCUUUCCAUACUGUUUUGAUUUUUUUUUAAUUUUAUAUAACCAAAACUCGACGGUUAACUGAAUUAACCAAAGUGAAAUUAUAUUUAUAAUUCUUGAGGUGAACAAGCAUACAAGUACUCAUUUUCUUUGUACUGGAGACAUAUUUCGUGCUAAGCACAUCCAUUUUUCUUGUAACAUAGUCAUUCUUCUCUUGGAAAGAAUGCUAGGUACAUACAUAACCAUCAAGGCAUGAAUCCAUGCAUGAAUAUAUCUCUACUAUUAAAGGGGGAUCAAACGUCGUGAUGGUUCGACCUCGUUCGAUCCCCACCCCCUUCGUACGACAACCAUCACGCAAUGGCCACGGCCGCAGCAUCCCAAAACUCAAAGGCCAACUCAGCCCACGUACAAGAUCCACAGCAAAAAAAAAAGACAAUUCGGCUCAACCCACGAACGAGGCCCAUCGAUCAACAAACCAGCCAAAAAAUAGUUCAGCUCAACCCACGAACGAGGUCCAUCGGCAAAAAAUCAAACCACCUGCGAGCUCCAUCGACCCACUAACGCACGUCUCCAGGGAGAGAAAUGCCCGUUCUUCCUCGCGUACGAGCUCCAUCGACCCACGGACGCACUACAUCAAGGAGAGAAUCGCCGGUUCACUCGCCGUUCGGCCACAUCGUUCUCACGUGAGUUGUGCGAGCGCAGCCUCUGCUGCCAUCAACCUCUGAUCUCCUGCAUGCUGAACCGCAACCUCGGCGCCCCUGAACCAGAACCUGCGCUCGACGGCUGUUGCUAUGUCUAUCUCCUGAUGUCGCCGCUACAUCCUCUUGCCAUCAUCUUCACAGUUCUUCACCUACCGUCUUCUGCCUCUCUGACGGCAAAGGACUGAGAUCCACCGGGUGCCCACCAUGCCCUAGGUUUGCCACCUCAACUGUUUUAGCAAAAAUUUUUACAUCAGAAAGAUACUAAACUCCUGUUCAGAACUUCAUGAUGUGACCUCAAAAAUAUAGUGGUACUCAGAUUGCAUCUUUAAGUCCUACUCCAAGUACAUUGAACAAAGCAUGCAUGAUUUUAAGCUAUGUACCAGCUACCAAAUUGUGAAGGUGCUUCAUUAGGCUCAUCAACUUCUGGGAAUUAAUACAUGAAACAAAUGUAUAAUGUGUGCUAAUGUGGACGGGUGUGACAUGGCAUCUCAAACUUGUCUUUGCAGCAAGUCCACUCUAUGCAAAUGAAUGUAAGCAAAUGUAACAAAGUUAAAAAAUUUAAGAAUUGAUGCCAUGAGAUUGACAUGCUUUUCACCCAAUUUCAUAUUGUAGACACCUGUUCAGUUGCCAGACUUAAGUUCAUAUUGAAGACCCCUAUUCCAUAAAGAAUAUUGCUAAAUCCUCUUAAUUACAGUACAAUAUAGUUAUAAAUAUUUCUCUCACGGUCAGCUCUACGUUGCAUUGUCUAGAGCUAACGCGAAGAGGAACAUUAAGAUUCUCGCCAUCAAGGACAACGGCAAGGGUAAAGGCAAGGAUAAGGGCAAGGGCAAGGAACAAAGCAAGAUUUCAAAGAAGCGGAAAAUAUUUGAACCCUUAUUAACGACCAUGAAGAACAUAGCCUACAAGGAAGUCCUUAGCACAUGAAGUCACCAGAUCAAAUUAUAACAACUCAGGUAAAGUAUGUUCAAUUCUGCAUUCCUAUUGUAGAUCUUAAUGCACACUAACCUGAGUUUGUGAGCAUAAUCAGUCUUCAGAAACCAUGAGUAUUCCUUUCGCGACAUCUCCCCAUUCUAUACUUGGUCGAAUAUGCAUCUGUUUAAGCUAGAAAUAACAACAGACAGCAUGAAAUUGCAAACAGAUUAAGGAUGAAGAUGCUUGGACAAUGACUUGCUACAGAAGAACAAAAAUACUAAGGUGUCGUAUUUCUUUCUAAGACAUACGCUUUUUAAUAUGGUAAGAACCUGAGGCAUCUAAUAUCAUAUACUCUCUCCUUCCCAAAAUCUUAGGCGCGUAAGUUUUUGCACGCAGUCCCAAAAUCUAAGGCGCAGAUGCCUUUCUCUGUCUCAUUCAGUUGCAACAACCACUCACGGUCGCUAUUUUUUUGGAAACAAAAACAAAUCUCUGGCUGGGUCUUUCGUUGAUUCCUACAUCUCAACAGCAUGUAUGAUGGUUCAAGUAACAAUUAAAAUGCGCUGAUUUUCAUGCUGGCUACUAAUAAUACGCCUAAGAAUAUGGGAAGGAGGGAGUAGCAAUUAAAAAACUGACUUAAACUUAAGUUCCAUAGAAUCUCUCGAUGGAAAUACAUGGAUAAGGAACUAUGUAUCUGAUAAUUUACGAAGAACCCAAAUUCGAGCUGAAUUUGCCAUUAGUGAGCUCCUCAUAUCUCUACUAUUAAAGGAUGAGUCUUUCAAGACAAUAGAUACCUCGAUAUGAACAAAAGGAACAUAAUCUGUUCGUCUGCUUUUUUUUCUGUAGCUCUGUGAUAAGAUUUAGCACGCAUGUGUCCUUAAAUUCAGGCCUCAAAAUUCAUUGCAGACUGUGAUUCCAAAGUGCCAAGUGCAGGAUUAGAAACAUCAACCCUUAAGCUAUUCAGCAAGAGCAUUGUGGUGACUGGAGAAUGAGUCAUAUUAGACCCUGAAUACAAGCAUCGCUAAUCUACAAAAUGGCAAGGACCUCGGAAUGGAAGCUUUCGCAAUACCACAAUAGCGCAUUAUGCUGAGCUCAUUUGCCAAAAGAUGCAGACCGAGCUUUGCGCUCGUUUUUUACAAUUGUUACAUCAGUAUGAAUGUGAUCAUUGGACAGUGCUGACUUUUAUGUCAGGUUACCUUGCAUAAAUAUGUAUGAUUCCCCGUUGUGUUUUGCUUUGUUGAAAUGCAUUGUGUGUGUACAAUUGGAAUUUGGUCAGCAUUGGAAGGCUGACUCUCCAGGAAGAGGAAGCUAAGCCUCCUUGACCAGAGUUUUUUUCUUCUUCUUUUUUUGAAGUUUCAAGCCAUGCCUUUUUGAAUAGGAACGGCUAAAAUUGUUUAUAGAAAAACUAUUAAGACCCACUUUUCUUGUUGUACUAAAACAAAGUUUUACUUAUUUCUGCCCCUAAAAAAACUAUAUUUUUGGUAUGCUAACUCAUUUCAGGUGGUUAGACCUUCAAACGAGUUUAUGGGAAAUAGAACUGGCAAAAACUCUGUAUCCAGACAACCCAAGAAAGGUUUUAUCCUCAUCUCACAAAAUAAACUUAAUCAUAACCGUAUACUGAUUACUAUACAUCUAGCCAUCUUUCAAACUGUGUAUAUAUAAGAUAGGUUCAUUCUACCUCCAGAUUUUUGCUUACCUCUAAGAUCGAAUUUCACCGGCGGUGCCAAUCCAACAGAGCUACCAAUGCAGGACGCGGAGGGAGAGACGAGAGCCGACCGUGACGAGGUAAGAUCCGUGGGCACCCUGAUCCUGACGCAUAGGGAGGGGAGCAGAGCUCGGUGGCGAAGAGAACCAGUCGGCGUCGUGCUGCACCACGGAAUCCACUCCUCGUCGAUCUCCGCCCAUCCGGCCGAGCACAGCUUGCGGCAGGGUCUCCAAAAUGAGGAGCCCGAUCCCGCCGGUGGAUGCAGAUCGAGCCCACCUCGCGCUGCACGGCGCGUGCCAGUCGCCGGGCGUUACCACCCGAUGAUUCGGACCGACGUGGCGUCAUCGCAGCGGGGGCGCGGGGCAGGGAGCACCGCGUGGUGGAUGCCGCUGCCCAGACUACGUGCGUCUUCCUGCCCCCCGGAUCUCGCCGGACAGCAGGGAGUGAUGGGGGCGCAGUGUGGGAGCCUCGCCAUGGCGCAGGUAGGCUGUAGGGACGGUUCGGAGGCGCGGGGUGGGAGGUUGGGCCGGGAUGGGUGCCGUGCGCCAUGAUGCGCCGGCGGCUGCACAGGGGAGCAGGGUGGGUCAUGGGUGGCUAGCUGAAUGGGAAAGGGGUGAGCAGCGAGGAGAAAGAGACUGAGAGUGCUAGCAGUAGCAGAAUUGUUUUUGUCACACGGCUCUAUAAUUUUUUUAUUUAUAUUAGUGUAUAUUAUGCGAAAUUUCUUUUGGAGGCCGAGCUCCAUGGAGAUUUCGAAAUCCAAAAUUCAAAAUUCUUGAAAAAUCAUAUUUUUACAUUCAAACAAAUUCUGAAAAAAAAAAUAUAGAAAUAGAUGAAGGCAUAGUGCACAAGUAUGUAAAUUUUGAGGACAAAAUACGUUCAAAUGUGGGCUGUGCAAAAAAUACAAAUUUGUUGUUUUUUAACACAUGAUAUGAUUCAUCCUCCCCGAUCAUCAAUUUGUCCUUUUUGUACAGGUCGCACGUAUUUCAUCCUUAAAUUUUACACACAUACGCCUCACAUCAUUGUUUACUUGUACGAAAAAGUUCAGAAGUGAAAUUUUUGAAUUUUGUUUUUUUUUUCAAAAAGGCCUCCAUGGAGGCCGAGAGCCAAAACGCCAUUCUCUGUAUAUUAUAGCAUAAGAAACUGAGGUAUUUGGACGGUCUGUCGGGGCUACCAAAUAUCUUGGCUAGACUAGAACAAAUCUUGUUUUGCAUAUUCUAGAUGUCUGUCAUUUUAACCUUUUUAGUCUGCAUGCUGUAUAUGAAUAUAUUAUAGUACUCCCCGCAAAGAAAAAGAAUAAAUGAUAGUACUAUAUUUAAAUCAUAUUUGUAUAUAUAUUUCACUUUUUCAGAACGUGUCCAUGCUAGAUAUGGAUAUUAUUGACCAUGAAAAAGAACCUACCAACAAGAGUCCGAAGGUGGUGUUGUUGGAAGAGAUCAAAAACUCAGCAAGUUCUAUACAACCUACCAACAAGAGUUCGAACUGACUGAAGAAUCUCAGGGAAAUAAACAUAAAAUUGAAGAGCCAAAAAUUAUAAAACUUAAGUCUAGGGCGGCAUAGAAGGGUUCUUCUUUGAUCAAGCUGUCCGUGCUGAAUGGUGCUUUUUCGGUGAAGCCCUGGUUGCCGCGCGGAGCUUGAAAACUUAGUCACACCGUGUCCUUUUCUAAAAACUAUGUGUCAAAGACCAAUAAGUGAGAGUUGAUGGCAAUGUACAAAUGGUGGAUCGAAGCUCUCAGUUUCAUGGGGUUGGUCCCCUACCAAUGUGUCACAUCGUGCUCCGCUGUUUACAUUUUUCAUCAUGUUCUCUCCAAAUAAAAUUUCAGCAAAUGAAUAAUCUGAUCAAAGUCUACUAUGCGUUGGCUAGAAAAUAAGACCAUGUUCAUAGAUUUUUAAUAAACUCUGACAUUGUUUUGUUGUUGAAAUGUACUCCAUCAAAAGCACUCAUAUAAAAUGUCCACUGUCGACUAAUCUUUUCACAUCAUAUUUCGUAUUCCCAUGGCAACGCACGGGCGUUCAACUAGUACUUAUAUAUAGUUAUAUAAUAUGUGUAUAAAAAGUAUGUGUUUUGAGUCAAAAUCUCUAAUUAUUAUUAUGUAAUUUUCAAAUUCGCGUCAACUCUAGUUAUUAUGGUAUAUACCGAAACCAUACCUUGAUAAAUUGGUAUAUACCGAAACCAAACUCUAUCUUAAUUUUAUUGUAUUUACCGAAGUAUUAAUACCAUACAAACCAGAAACCCAUAUAAACUGUACCAUGUCAGCUGAAUAAACCAAAUGUAAAUACUUACCAAAUGCACUAUAAUUGGUGUUAUAAGCGCCGAAUAUUGCACAGAUGAGGACCUUAUAGUAAUGUGAGAUGCGGCUAAUUUUUCUUAUUAAGGAUGAUUGCGUGAAAAUUACAAACGGCGCAAAGGCACCAUGGUGUCCUUUUUCAAAAAUCUAUUUUCUACAGCACAAAAAAAUUUGAUUUUUUUUUGUAGAAACACACAGAGAUGUAUACUAUGUAUGUGCAAAGUUUCACAACAUUUUACGUACAAAAAAAGACUAAUAUGUAUUUUCAACUGGGCCGCCUUUUUUCAUUUUUGGCCGGAAUUUUGUUGUUUGUACAGAUUACAAUUUACAUUUUUCAAAAAAAAAUCAUGGAUCCAUAGUUAACACAUAUAAGUUUUCACAGAAUUUUUUUGGAACUUCUAAAUAUGUUUUCUUAAAUUCACAAAAGCAGGCACCACUGGUUCGCACUCUGAAUUGCCACACUUUUUAAGCAAUUCCAUUGUAACGUGUUGGUAUUAUUAAUGUCAUACUGAGGAAAACUACAUCUCUUAAUAUUAACACAUAUGCAUAUAUUUUGGCGCAUUUGCUUUUCUUCGGGCAACUGAGAAUGUUUCUCUAUUCAGUCGAUUCUGGGCGCGGCAAUGCAAGCGAUUAGGCCCAUGGAGGUGGGCAGGUCGGGGUGAGGAAGAACGAUUGGGCUGGGUUGGAGAUGCAAGAAGAGGAGGAGCUUCUAGCGGAACGGACUGAAAUUUUUAGAAUAAAUUCAGGCAACUGUUUUAUGGGUGCUUCUUUGUUUUACCACUGCAUUUUAUAGGCAGGCUUGCUGGCGGCGUGAUGCCAUGACUCGAGUAAAAAGUUCACUGGUAAUAAAGAGUUGGGUUGCUUAGAAAUUUCGUGUUUCUAAUUCUUGUGGCAGCCAAGUGCCCCUAUUUUUAGAAUUCCGUUUCAGUCUGGCACUCCCAGCACAUUUUUUCUUUGACGGUUGCAUUCCCAGCACAAUUCAUAUGAGCCAAGAAAGGUGUCACGACAUUUUUUUUUUUUGAAAGAGUGUGCCAUGACAAUUUGCCAUAACUAAACUAGCAUUUUAAGCAUUUUUCUUUACCGUUACAUCUUAAGCAUUUUGACCUGUGGUUUGCCCCUGCUUCGAAAAUUCCCGCAGGGUCGUCAGUGCGUAGCCACACUUUGUAGCCCGACAUGUCGAAGCACCGCUCCGUUUGCUCCGCCACGCCCACCACAAAGCCGAGGCCUUUGAUGAGCACAUCGGCAGUGCGGUGCAUCCAUGCAUGCGCGGGUACGACCACCAGUGACAGAGGGACUAGAAAUGGCAUGGAGACAGGAUCGCCUGGGCCUGCCGGAGCCACGACUGACGAGAGAGGGAGAACCCCGUCGACAUGGCUUUGCCGCGGGAAACCAUACAAUCUCGAAUCACCUUGGAGUUGUAGAGAACCAGGGAGUCCUCAUGGUAGAACACACAGAUUGACAUGUCCAGAGGGUUGAUAUCGAACUCGGCGUGGAGCUAGCGCCGUGACCGCCGACACCAGAUCCACAACAUGGGCUGGUGCCAGUGAUUAGCACGACAAACAACACAUGCGAGCUCAUCCUCCAUCCUUACGAGGUCAAUAGGUUGUUUUUAGGGGUACGAGGUCAAUAGAUGACUCAAUGAAGCAAGUCUCCACCAUGUUGUCUACUACCAGCGAACGGGCCGGACCACCUGACUCCAGGGCCUGGCUAGCCGGGGGAGGGCACGGAGGCGAUGGGGGAAGCGUCGUGGGUUCCACCGAUUGACCAGGAAGCUGUGGCGAAGUGUCGGCGGUGGGCGUGAAGAUUGGGCGAGUUGGGAGGGGCUGCGAGGCCUCGUGCAACCCCUGGAGAUAUUACCAUCACCGCUGCACCGCACACAACAUGGUAGGUUGGUGCAGUCCGCAGAGAUAUGCUCUGGAUCACCGCAAUUGUAGCAGCACCCGUAGAACUCGACCGGGAUGCGUGACCGCAGCACGCGCGAGGUGGGGAGGACGCGUCGCCUCCUUGGAGGGAAUGGGGCCAUGGCGUGGCUCCUGUGCUUCCCGCCGCGUUUGGAUUGCUAGGCCGCCUCGCCGGCCGGCCGCUCGCGGAUGGGACCAGGCUCGCCACCCUGAACAAUGGGUCCGAACGUCGUGCCCACCUCCUAUGGCACGAUGACAGAGCGCAUCACUGGUCGUGGGGGAGGAGGGGAGGGGGCCUCCGAGGACGAAACUACUGUUGAAUCCUCCGAGGAAGACGUGGGAAGAGAGAUGCAGGACGCGAUGGCGCGAGGGGAGGGGGAGCGGCACCGCGCCAUUUGCCUACAAAUGAGCGAAAGAAUCAGCUCCAUCUUUUAACUUGUUGUAUCGGUUGGAGCGAAGAGUAAAAAUGAAAAGGGGCUGACUACGGGUCAGUCGAUUGAAAAUUUAGUGUGGCUGGCCACUGUCACGCGCGAUAUUUAUUCGCUUCCGAGGAAUUUGUACGCGCAGCAUUGAGCAGUGCACGUACACAACGUGCGUACGUAUGUAUCUGCACCAACACUGCUAGCCUUUUUUCUUUUUAAGAUAAACCAACACUGCUAGCUAGCUACCUUCCUCUUCCUCAUUUUUCUUUUCUUUUGGAUCGGAGGACGGAGCCUUCAAACACAUGGAUGGAUGCAUUUCACAUACUGUACAUGACUAGUUGCAAAAAAGUAUCGUACUACGUCACUUUAAGUAUCUGUACGCACAUGCACUUCCUCCCAUCGAUCGAGGGUAGCUAAAUUAAUGCAUUUCAAUCUAGUAACCAGCCAUGCAUGUUAGUCGACUGAAAAUUAAAUUUGGGUUAGUUGACUGAUGCAAAUUAAAACAAAUAGUGAAAAAACUUCAUACAAUUCACACAUACAUUGUACUUUUUUAUAGCAUGCAAGAAUGCACAUAUAAUAAUUGAAAGAAAAUACAAUAGAACUAAAACUAAACCGAAAUUUGCACACAAUUUACAGCGAAAUUGCACUUUUUAAAUAUGCAAGAAUAAGCACAUAAUGGUGUAAUUUCUUAAAAAAAUAUGUUUUCUAAUAGGAAACGAGUUAGUGGCUUUGGUAUUGCCCUUAUAGAAAAAAAAUUCUAAGGAAGAAUGAAUUAGUGCCAUUUGUAUUACCAUUUAAGAAGAAAAGAAAGAAAAAAUUAAUAAAAAAAUUUGCACAAAAUUAUACAAAAAAUGUGUGUUUUAUAAUAUGUAAGAAUAAGUGUAUAAUAGUGCAAUUUCUGUGAAAAGGAAGUUUCCUAAGAAGAAAUCGAUUAAUGGCUUGGUAUUACCCUUAUAUAAAGAAUAAAGAAAAUAAAAUGAAAAGUAAAACAAAAUCAAAAUAAUGAAGUUUUUCUAAGGAUGAAUGAAUUAGUGGCAUUGUUAUUACCCUUCCAGAAGAAAGGAAAUGAAAAAAUUGCACAUAAUUUACACAUAAAUUGCACUUUUUGUAAUAUGCGAGAAUAAACUUGUAAUAGUGAAUUUUUCGCCAAAAGGAAAUUUUCUAAGAAAGAAUUAAAGAAGAAAUACAAUAAACCAAAAACUAAAACUAAAUAAGAAUGAUGAAUUUUCACAGUUAAUUGUAGUUUACACUCAUUUGUGUAAUAGUUGUGUCUAUACAUUCAUAUAAAAACAAAACCGACCAAAAAAAAAUCAAAAACACAUACUAAUGUCAAAAAUUAAUUUGAACCGUAUCUCAUAUCAAUGGUACAUCCCAGUCUCACACAUAUGCACGAAACACAACACACACACACGGGCGCAUAAAAAACUAACAUGCAGAAAAAGAAAAGAUAAAAAAAGGUGGGGCCUAUACAGAGGCAUGAAGGCAUGGCACCGCAUGUAGCCAUGCAUACAGCUAGCAAUAAUGCUAAACAUACAAAGAGUUACACGCUGACUAGGAUUUUUUCCAUCUACUAACCAAUCAUAAACUUGACCCCCCUCCCCCUAUUUUCAGGGGGUGGACCGCCUCGCCACCUAUUGACCAAUCAAAUUAACCUUCUUUGUAAAACCUUGUAACUCGUUUGUAUGUGUAGCAUUACUCGUUGUGUCCCACUACUCAGUUUUACCAUUAGAAGUUACAACUACUCAAAAAUGCCAUCGAUCCGUGAGAUGUUUGCUCAAAAAUGCCAUCGUUCCGUUAGAUGUUUUCUCAAAAAUGCCAUUAGACAUCGUUAUUUUCACAUCAAACUCAUUGACCAUGUUAUAUGACAAAAAUAAGUCUAGACCCACAUGUCAGUUCUCUCUAUCUCACAAUGAUAAGUGUGGCCCCACUUGUCAGGGGUAACCAAGCGAAUAAUUUUAUAGAAAAAUAAGAACGUCGUUGGGAUCAAGUGGGCCCCACACUUUAUUGUAGUAAGAUAGAAGGAGAGCUGGCAUGCUGGUUCAUAGGUAUUUAUGUCAUUAUAACAUGGCAAAAGAGAUUUGAGAUCACAAUAAUGGUGCCCAGUGGCAUUUUUGAACACGUGUCUAACAAAGCAAUGGCAUUUUUGAGUUGUUGAAACUCCUAGUGGCAAAACUGAGUAGUGGGAUACAAUCGAUGGCAUAAAUGAUAAAAACCCAAACGAAAAAGUCAGGUUAUGUAGCUAAACUGAAAUGAAAAACCGCCUGCACAAAAAUGCUGGUAUACUCGGACGAUGUGGCCAUGGAAAGAAUCGUACCGCGAAAUUUCUAGAUGCUAGCAUAGCAGAGCUACCCACUGCACAUGGUGGACGGUGAGUAAUCACUCCUUGCAUUUCACUCUGCAUCCCAAAAACAAGCAGGCAUGCAGGCAGGCAGAGGUACCCCACGGCCAGCACCAACCAUCUCAUAUCAGUUUUCCCAUCUCCUCUCCCCAUCACCUUUCCCAUCUCGUCUCACGCAAGCCAAGCGCCACCUCUCCGGCUCCUCGUCCUGCUGCUCAUACCCAUCACCUUCCCCGUCCCACACGAGCUAAGCGCACACAGCAAGCGCCACAGAUCCACGCCAGGAAGGAGUCCACCGGCUUCUCCGCCUCACCUCUCCGCGGCCCGAGGACAUGGAGCGGCAUGGCGCUGCGCUUGUCGCAGAGCGUCUUCGCCGCCGCGUCCGUCUUCGCCAUGGUCUCCGGCAUCGGCAUCGGCUUCUCCAACCACGGCGCCUACUUGUACUACUCUAUCGAAAUGCUAAUUCUUGUUUCCCUAUAAUGUCCUCCCUCUUUGUGUUUUUUCUGGCAAAUCCAUCAGCAUCACUCAAGUAGCAAGCUAUGUGAGUGUCCGUCUUGGUCUAUUGGGUUUGAUCUGGGUUUGGAGGACAAGGUUGGGUGACUUUUAUACUCUUUCUUUCAAGAGAAUUUUUUUGAGAAUAAGGUAGAGACAAGCAGGGGACUGGUUCAUUUCUUACAAGGAUUCACAUUUUUUCACAUGCUUGCAAGCUGAGCUCGCCCAAACAGUUUCCUGGCUUAAAUCUUAGGAUCCUACACCUGCCUGAGAAAACAUCAUAUAUCAACCCUUAACCCUUAUUUAGGAGAACUAGAUGAGCCGGGUUUAACGCCAGUAGUGCUGAAUCAGGAGGCCUCAUCAUUUGAUAAACUUCGUUGAAACAUAUCUCCAUGACUACCUUCAAUGCUCUCAAAAUUAGUGUAACUGUUGUUCGACGAGCCAACCACCCAACUACUAGUCACCGGAAAAAAAGGAAAUGAGACUUCAUUGGGUGACUUCCUUAUUCGAGUUCUAAGACGGAUUUAUGUAGUAGAUUUUGUUCCAUUACAGAGUUCAUGCUUGUUUGCAGCAGGACUACAAACUUGACAUCGUACAUAUUUAUGUCGAUAAUAUGGGGAGUUUACUUUAACUUGAGUGUUCUUUUUCAUAACAAGAACUUUGAGUGUUCUGUCAUCCUCUAUUAAUAUUUCUGUGACUAGUGUUUUUUUUUUCUUCUAAAAUGCGAGCUGUACCAAUUUAAUUUUCCAAUGGCAUUUGGAAUCCUGAUUGUCAGCUGUGUCCAAAUCUCUUGCUACCGUCUAGUAUUCAAGUUGACCAAGUUAGGAAACAUGUAUGUUUUUGUUGAGGCCACCCUGCGAAGGGUUUAUGAUCUGGUAAAAUGGUUUCUGGAAUUGACGGGUAAUUGAUAUUUGAUCUCUCGCUAGAAUUUUUCCAAGUAAACCUUCACUUGGUGCCAUGUAGUCAGGGAGAACUCUGAACUGGGAUGUUGAGGGGCCGGGAUUAGUUUAAAGCUCAAUUCCCCACAGGACGGGGCGAACAACAGCAUACCAUGUUCAAAAAUGGAACCGGAAUAUUGGAAAAUGUUUCUUUGUGUAUGUGCUUUUGUGGGUGUAUGUGCAAUGCAUGCAUAUGUUUUUCAUCCAACCUACAGUUUUUUCUCCAAUGAUAAUAUUUUAUUAGAAUUGUUAAAAUUUAGGUUUUAUGUGUCAUCACACCAAAUGCUGGGGUGCGCCAAUGAUUUAUAUUUUCACUUCAAGUUCAUGUCAUUGAGACUAUGAACCGCCUAAAGUCUUCAAUUUCUUGUCUACUCUUCAGAAUUGCUUGGACAGGAACUCAAGUGUGUUUUGUUAACAUCAUCUAACGAGCGUAUUAUGGUCUCCAUUUAUUUCAGCUACAUGAAUCUGGUGUUGAUCCUCCAGCUGAUGUGGAGUCUGUUCCUUGCUUGUGAGGAUAUCUUUGCUCUAAGGAAUAAAAAGUAUCUUCACACCCGGCAUAAUCUAUUGUUCAUUGUUUGCAUUGACAUGGUAAGUCGCUCACUUUGUCUCUUCUAUUCUCCAUGAGCUAUGUCUGAAUUAACUGAAGGCAUGCACUGAAGCAAUUGAACCAGAUUUUUUUAAUAUUAGUUCUUACGAGAAAAGAUGGGGAGCGUUUGCGCAGCGGUAAAACUGUUGCCUUGCGCGACCCUGCACAAGCGGAGCUGCGUGCACUGGGCAGUCCCUUUCUUUAGUUCUUACGAAAAAUGAAAUUCAGGAUAAGCGCAACUGAUGCUUCUCUAUUGGCCAAGUUCUUGUUCUGCCUCCCUCUAGGAGAAUAAGGUAGCUUUAAGAGAUUUGUUGGCACAGGCUCUCCAUCAAAAUUAGCCAACGAAUUGUCCAUUUUAGUAAGAAAUUUUAACAACCAAUAUGUUUUGCGUGACUUUUUGGUUAACCAGCGGUACAGUUUACCAAAGGUUCUUUUUCCCUGUUAGAAAGGCUGUCAUUUCUCUCAUCCAAAGUUGUUACAUCUCACAAGCAGAGUCCAAAUACCCUGUGAAAUCAUUUUUUUAGUCGAGUAGUUCUUGGAAUCUUGAGCUAGCAAAGGCAUAUCUGAGUGAUCAUAUCAAUUCUGAAUGUGUUGCAGGCCAUGGCGAUUCUCAUUUUCACAGGAGCAAGUGCCUCUGCAGGCCUGACAAUUUUGAUCAUGUGGGAUAUGAAGCUCUGCGGGGCAUACCCGCGGCUGGCCUGCCGGCAGUUCGCGCUUUCGACCACCCUGGCGUUCAUCACGUGGUUGUUGCAAGCUGCGUCUGUUUUCUCUGGGUUCCGGCUACUGGCUUCGUUCUUCUAGUGAUCUCACGCACUCAUAAUCGCCGUCGCGACAUGCUAAGUCAGGAGGGUAAAUCGGUUGCAAUGUGCACGCAUCCUUCAUCACUUGUUAGAUAGAUGGAUUGUCUGUUUGAUAGUAGCUCAUCUUUAUUCUAGGAGUCGAUUAUGAACGCCCUGUGGUCGAACAGUUACUGUUUAGAUGAUGUGGGAUCAUUAAUAUGGAGAUAAGUCGUGAUCGAAGGUACCUGAAAAAUGCUCUGGUUGUUGUACAAUGGAAUUUCAUAUCUCUUCAAAUGGCUGGGACCAACCAUUUCUGGUUGCCGAGCAAUGUACUCCUAAAAAGCACGGACACGGGGACGGAAAGACGGGGAUACGCAUACGGGGAUACGGGAUACGGCAUUUUUUAAAAACAGCCAUUCGGGGAUACGGCGAGUAUAUAUAAAAUAAAAUAAAAAUAUGCCAUAUAAUAUACAAUUAAGACAGAAAAUUAAUGAGAAAGAGAUCAUAAUAGAGGAUAAUGCCCCAUUUGGUGUCUCUUUUAUCAAGUGAUGAUUGAUUGAUCGUCAUCCCCCCAUGUCAUGUUGUCAUUGCAAGCUGCAUCUAUCUUGCAAAACACAUCAAACACAGACAGUACAGAAGAUUAGAAGACAAGACAUAAUUGGAAGAUAAUGCAAGCAUGAGCAGCAGCAGCACAAGCAUGAGCAGCAGCACCACCAGCAUAAGCGGCAGCACAAGCAAGCAUCAAGCCAGCAAGCAACAUCCAGCAGCACAAGCAAAUCUGAAGGAUAAAAGAGGAAGAGGUUGAGGAAAGGGGAGAGGGGAGAGGCUGCUUGGUUACCUGCGAGGCUGGGGGUAGCACCAGCUAUCGCCGGUCGAAUCCAGGCGUCGCCGGCGGCGGCGGCGACGAGUCAAGGCGGAGGCGGCUUCGAUCCAGGAGGCUGGCGGCGCGGGGAGGCUGGGAGGGAGCACCUCGUCCUUGAGACGAGAGCGUGCGGGAGUUCCUGCAAAUAGGUUAGGUAUACUGGGUUGGGCCGAGGCUAUUUUGGGCCAGGCCGUGUCCCAAACGUAUCCCGCACGUGUCCCAGCGUAUCCCUGUGUUUUUUUUCCUUUUUUAAAAUCGAAAUUCGGGGGAUACUGCAAAGUUCGCGUAUCCCGGCAUAUCCUGGCGUAUCCCCGUAUCCUGCCGUAUCAGAACGGCAGUUCGGCACUUCCAGCCCUGUCCAUGCUUUGUAGAUGUACUCCCUCAGUCCCAUAAUAUAAAAUGUUUUUACAAGCUAUGUUAGCUUGCGAAAAUGUCUUACAUUAUAUAUGGAACGAAGGGAGUAGAUAUGUAGUCCUUCUCGACAUAAUUAGAAAUUCAAAUACUAAAGAUAGGAGAGUGGCUUUUCUACUCGUGGGUGUGCAUACACUCAGGAUGAACAGUAAAUUUGAAAACAAUACAAAAAUAUCUGAAAGUUUUGUCUGGCGUUCUGCGUCUUGCAGCAUGAAAAAUUGUUGGAACUUGUCCUCCUCCUAAGUAUGAGUGCCAUGGUCUAUUAUGUCCGCCACCCAUCGAAUACGAGACUAUGUCGGGUUUAUUGUUAGUUUUCAGAUUUCCUCUCAACAUCCAAGGACACGUUUGUUUGUUUGCAUCAUUUUUUCCUGGCUGAGGAACCGGACAAAGAACCAUCAUCUGCCCAUCGUUUGGUAGCCUGCAUGUAGGUUGGUUGCAAACGACAUAAGGUGUGAUCACCAUUUCUUACUACUGGUGGCCUUACCACAAACGAUUUCAACAUCGUCUCAGUCCUAGCUAGAAAACAAAUGACGGUUCAUCCUAUCUACUAACAAAUGGCAGUACAAAUUAAGUGCUAUAUGGCUGAAGAAGAAGAAGAAGAAGAAGAAGAAGAAGAAGAAGAAGAAGAAGAAGAAGAAGAAGAAGAAGAAGAAGAAGAGGGGGAUCUUAAACCUAUUCUUCAGCGAUUCAAAUGCCCUCUCAAUCAUAACUCUAAGGCUAGAGUGUCUGAAAUUAAACAGUUCCUGUGGAGUCCUAUGAUAGUUCCUGGAAAAGAACUCCUUCAAAUGGUACCUGGUUUUCCUGAAAGGUCGAAGAACACCAAGUUGAUACGCAUAGCCAGCAUCUCCUUGGUAGAACUUGCCAUCAGGUCGAAACAUGCUAUCUGUUAGAAUGAUAACAUCAUGGGCUGGUCCCUUCCACCUAGCUAACACGUAUGUGAACUUCAGAUCGAAGUCAACCGCAGAACAUUCUGGCUUAUGUAGUAUUAGAUGACAAAUCAUCACCUGCUAUACCGUCAUCGGAUCCUACAUCAUUGCAGCUCCACAAAAAAAUAUUUCAAUGAGUUUGGAGCACUCCAAAUGCCUUUUCCGCAUCCUUCCUAGCAGCUUCUUGCAUUUGUGCAAAGAGACAAUGUUUGUACAUUGGGGAUCGGGUAUAGUCAUCACAAACACCAUCUACUGAUGAUAGAUAUCAUCGGCAUGGUGGUACCCAUGGAAUAGUAAUCCUUGUUGACGGUGUAAUUGCAUGUCGGGACAUUCCCAUCACAGAAUCUAUUGAACAAUAGAGAUUGUUGAAAUACACUGAUGUCAUUGUAAGAACCAGACAUGCCAAAUCCACAAGUCUGUUGAUGCCAUUGCUUCAAGUAUGAUGUUGACCUCUUUGGUGUGAUCUUGGCACUACUCACGCAAACCUGUCGGGGAUGUUUUUCAUUGUCAAAAAAUCCCCGACAGGUUUGCGUCAUCAUUGAAAUACCGGGCCAGGUUUGAAGUUAUCGUUGCACGGACCUUUGCGCCAAUUAUCCUAUCUCAGGCAAGAGCAAUCAUGCCAUUUACUGAAUCCUUGAAAUUAAGAAUGUGCUCAAGUUUCUUAUCCAUUUCUUCCUAGAUGCUAAUCAUCGCCAUUAUCUCAGCAUCUUUGUCGUCACAAUUGUCUGAAAAAUCGGAUAAAUCAACAAACUCUUUGAAUAUGUAGUCAUCAAGUUCCAUGCAAUUAAAAUCAUCAUCCAAUGAAUCCAAUGUUUGCCAACAAAUGAGUAAAAGAAUCAGCUCCAGCUUUUGAUUUUGCAUCCGUUGGGACGAAGAGUAAAGUAAAGGUGACAAACCGCGUGCACAAAAAUAUACCUAUACUCGUACGAUGUGGCCAAGGGAAGAACCUACCACAAAUUUCCAGCUGCUAGGCUGCUUAGCUAGCAGAAGUACUCACACCACAUGGUGGAUGCUCAGAUAGGCCAUAUCCAACGCUGACCCACAAAUUCCUUCCGUUCGUGGACAGGGGGACCAGUCCAUAGAUGCAGAUGCGAGAGGAGGCCAUCCAACACUACCCUCAUACAUUUCAAAGUUUCAAACACAAUUAAACUAAAUGGAACGAAAUUCAUGCAAACACUAUGGAUUUCAUUAAAGUUCAUACAUAAUUUAAUUAAAAUGGAUGAUAUUUCGAUCGUUUAACUAAAAACUGUAAAAAGAACCUAAACCCUAGACCGGACGACCACCUCGUACAUGUGGCUGCUAUGUCCCGCCACACCAUCAGCGCCGUCAUCAUCAUUGUCCUCCCUCCAGUGGUGGAAGGGCACCGCAGGGCCGUAGCAGCCUUGUCUGGCGGAUUCCUGCCGCUCGUGGAGGAGCCGCUCCGCAUCCCGUUGUGUGGUGCGGAGGGCCGCCUUGGCUACUACCGACGACGCCGACAGAGCCCUACCGGCGGCCUUACCCCUGCCGGCGUUGGUGGAGCAGUCGUGAAGUGACCAUUCCUCGCUGUUAAGGCGGUGGCGGCACCUGGCGUCCGUCUCGAGGGUGGUGACGGAGUGGUCGAGCGGCCACUCAGCUGCAUGGUCCGGGUUGUUGCGGACCCAUUCCGGCACGACGUCGCUCUUGGCGAAUGCGGAGCGGUGUGUGGCAUUGCGUCGGUUGUACCGUGCCUAUUGGCUCGCCGUGCGCUCCACCUACGACGACCCUCGAGACCGAGGCACCGCAUUAACCACCUCCUCUGAAGUAGUGGAGGAUGCAGCCACCUUGAUCACGCGCGGCAAGUCCUCCUUUAUCGGGUGGCGGUUGCGGCGUGGCGACGACGAGGACCCAUCAAUGAGGGCAUGCCGACUGUUAGGUGGGGGCGACACCAGCUCGUCUUUGGUGGUGGAGGCGCUGGGGGUCCACGGGUGUUGCGAUGGAAGACACAUGAGAAGAGGGUGGGUUUUUUGGGAAAGUUAGGGCAGUCAGAAGAGGACGUGGCAACUGUCCAGAUGCCCUUAAAACCCUCCACUGUGUCUCCGCUUUGCAAGAAAAAUUGUGUCCAGACCGAUACAGGACUGCGUUGGAUGACAAAACACGCCCGGGCAUAUGUGAUGGGCGGUUUGAGGGUCGGCGUUGGAGAUACCCUAAGAGCAUCUCUAGCAGAUCCCGUAAAAACACCACUUGUGAAAAUAGUAUACAGGUCCCCCUAAAAUGAAUUUACGGUACCGCGAGGCAUCGAGCGGAACAGAUUCUGUAAACUCGUAUGGUAAACUCGUAUGGUAAAUGAAUUUACGGUACCGCGCAUUCGCCCUUCCUCCUCCCUCCAGCCCCCUCCCUCCCUCCCUCCCGCCGCCGUCGCCGGCGCCCGUGGCCAGCCUGGCCCCGGGGCUGCUGGUGGCGGCGGCCUCCCUGCCCUUCCCCUUCCGGUCGCUCUCCGGCGCGGGCGGAGCUGCUCCGCGGGGUGCACUUCGGCGGCGACAAUCUAGCGUGGCGGCAGGGCUCCGUGGCGCGACGCAGGAGGACAGCUGGGCGGCGGCGCGAUCUGGUGUCGUCCGCUCGGCCCAGAUCUGGGCCUGGGCGGGCCGGCAGCGGGGAUCGUCUCCGGCGUGGCUUCUGGGAGGCAGGGGAGACGCGACGAGUGGCUGGGUGCUGGCGGCGCCGACGCUGACCUGCUGCAUCGUGGCCGGCGGGGCUUAACGGGCCCGCUUCGGGCCUGGCUGAGCCAGGGGUGGCUCGGCAUGCCUCGCGGCCAUGUCCGGACGGCUACUGCGACGGUGCCGGAGGCAUGGGCCUCCCGCACGAUGGCGGUGGAGGUGGUUCCCUCCCGCUCGGUGUCGGUGUUGCUGCUCCCGUCGUGGUGCGCUUUUCUCCGGUCCUCUUGGCCUCGUGGUGGUGUUCGUAGUGAGGCGGCGUUGGUGGCAGCGCUACUGCGUUGGCGCAUGGGGGUGGGCGACGGUUUGGCGGGUCGGUCCAUCUGGUUGGGUCUGGGAAUGCGGGAGAAAUCCCUGCCGGCUUCGGCCCCGACGCGGUGACACCUGCGGGUGCCACCAUUCCUUCCUGGAGGGUGUCGGUGGUAUUCACCCCCACCUUCCUUCGCGUGCCGGGGGAAACCCUAGGACUCGUCCGGGUAGCAGCGUUGUCGGCGUUGCAUUCUUUCUUGGAGGUGCUGCUUGGUACGCGGCGGUUCGGAACCUCGGUCUGUGGUGGGUUGUAUCCGGUCGGCGCCGUGGUGGCGGGUCAUCCGCGCUUUGCCGAGCUGCCGUGGUUGGCAUUUGUUUCUUCUUCCUUUUCUUUUGAUGUGUUGUGCUGCUCGCUACAGCGAUCUUUGUAUUGGGUGUUGGUUGCUUUGGAAUACAAAGCGGGGGAAACCCUUUUUGGUAAAAGUGUUUCUUCUUUUUCUCCUCACGCUUCUUCUCUCUCGGGAUGAACUGAAACUCCGGCCAGCCAGAACGGCGCCGCUUCGGCCCGCCGCCUGCUCCGGCGACGCUCCAGCCUACCGUGUGCUCCGGCCAGCUGCUACCGAGCUCCUCCGCCUGCUCGCUGCUUGCGCGGGGCGUGGCCAAGCCCCUGCUCCGGCGUUGGCCGGUUUUACGGGAUGCUCAAAAAAUGGCUCGAAUCCUUCAUAUAUAUAUAUAUAUAUAUAUAUAUAUAUAUAUAUAUAUGAGACGGAUGAGUGCUCUAAUACACGAAACUUACAGGAUAUGUUAGUUUACAUAAUAUAUUUGAUGUUCCUUUUUAACCUGUACCAUAAAUCUGAAGAUUUGACCGUUUUUAUGGGUUUUUAUGGAAUCUGUUAGAGAUUCUCAGCGUUCCAUCUGCAUUUCGCUCUGUAUGUCAAAAACCACGAGGCGGGCAGAGGUACUCCGUACGCCCCACCCCCAUCUCGUCUCACACAAAGCCAAGCAGGCAAGCACCACCUUUCUCAUCUCGUCUCAUCUGACUCACACAGGCCAAGCGCUAUCCUGCUCAUCAUAGCCAUCACCUUUCCCACCCCUCCCACACGAGCUAAGCGCACACACAGCAAUUGCCACAGAUCCCGGCCGGACAGCCAGGAGAGGACUCCAUCGGCUUCUCCGCCUCACCUCUCCGCAGCAAGCAGAUCAGAGCAGAGCAGGGGAUGAAGCGCGUAGCGGGGAGCCCGGGGACAUGGAGCGGCAUGGCGCUGCGGCUGUCGCAGUGCGUCUUCGCCGUCGCCUCCACCUUCUCCAUGGUCUCCGGCUUCGGCUACUCCAACUACAGCGCCUUCUUGUACUAAUUUCAUUCCCCCGCAAAUCCUAUUUCUCUUCCUUGCCCAUGUACCCCCCUUUGUGUGUUUUCUUGCAAAUUCAUGAGCAAUCACUCAUGUGAGUGUCUGUUGCGUUCGAUCUGUUUUUUGGAGGACACAGGCCGGUGUGAAGCCCUAAGUUUCUAGGCUUAUUAAGACUUAGAAUCCUACAAUUUCCCGAGAAAACAUUAUCAACCCUUGUUUAAGAGAACUCAGAUGAGGCAGAUUUAACGCCUUCCAAGCAGCGUGAUGCCUUUUUCUGGAGUGAAAACCUGGUCAUUACACUUUUAUCUGCAAACGAUUCUGAAUGCUCUGCUAAAUCUCCUUGGCAUUGAAAAAGCAAAUCAAUUAGGAAGAUAACUCAUAUCCGACUGCAAUGUACAAAAUGCUUGAACCAGUUGACAGAUUAAAGCAUUUUUGAUACCUCAACUACGGGGACAACCUUAAAUCUUAGCAGCCCCUUACAGUCAUCGUCGUGUUCUUUUCUGAUCUGCAAAGGAAAGCAACAAAAACCUUAUGAUGCGCUUGGAAAUUGGAACCAUUUCAUACAAAAAAGGCUGGUAAUUAAUCUGUCCCUAGAAUGUUUCUCUGUGAACCUUCACUUGGUGUGAUGUAGUCAGGGAGAACUCGGACCUGGGAUGUUUUGGGGCCGGGAUUAGGUUCCAAGCUCAAUUCCCUGCAGGACGGAGUGAACAACACCAUACUUGUUCAAAAAUGGAAUCAGAAUAUUGGACAUAUUUUUUUUGUGUAUGUGUAACGAAGCCAUACGUUUUUCAUUUAACCCACAGUUUAAUAUUUUUUAGAAUUGUUAAAGGUUAGGUUUUAUAGGUCAAUAUACAUGCCUUGACUCUGUGAUGGUGUGUGCCAACUAUUUAUAUUUUUCACAUCAAGUUCAUGUCAUUGAGACUAUGAACUGCAUAAAGUCUUCAAUUCUUGACUAUUCUUCAGAACUGCUUGGGCAGGAACACAAUUGUGUUUUGUCGACAUCAUCUAACGAGUGUAAUUCUGGUGUCCCUUCAUUUCAGCUACAUGAAUCUAGCGUUAAUCCUGCAGAUUAUGUGGAGUUUGGGCCUUGCUUGUAAGGAUAUCUUUGCUCUAAGGAAUAAAAAGGAUCUUCACACCCAAGAUAAUCUAUUCAUCAUUGUUAUGGUUGAUUGGGUAAGCCGUUCACUUUGUCUCUUCUAUUGUCCAUGAGCUAAGUAUGAAUUAACUGAAGUAAUGCACUGAGGCAAUUGAACCCAGAUUUUUUCUCAUUGGUUCUUACGAAAAAGGAAACAUCCGGAUAAGUGCAACUCAUGCUUUUCUAUUGGCCAAAUUUCUUGUUCUGCCUCCCUCUAAGCCUUAAAGAUAUUUGUUUGCACAAGCGCUCCAUCAAACUUUGCCGAUGAAUUAUCCAUUUGAGCAAUAAAUUUCAACAGCCAAUAUGCUUUGCAUGACUUUAUGGUCAACCAACGGUAUAGUUUAUCAAAGGUUCUUUUUUUCCUGUCAUUAAGAACUAAUGGCUGUCAUUGCAUCUCACAAGCACAGUCCAGAUACCCUGUGAAAUCAAUUUUUUUACUAUAGCAGUUCUUGGAAUCUUGAACUAGCAACGGUCUAUCUGAGUGAAAACAUCAAUUGUGAAUACAUUGCAGGUCGUGGCGAUUUUCAUGUUCUCAGGAGCCUGUUCCUCCGCGAGCCUGACAAUUUUCUUCAUGUGGGAUGUGCACUUCUGCGAGGCAUACACGCGGCUGGCCUGCCGGCAGUUUGCGCUUUCGGUCGUCCUGGCGUUCAUCACGUGGUUGCUGCAAGCUGCAUCUUCUUUCUCCGGGUUCUGGCUACUGGUUUCGCUCUUCUAGUGAUCUCACGUGCUCAUAAUCGCCGUCACAUCAUGCUAAUUGUCAGUCAGGAGUCAGGAGAGUUGGUUGAAAUGUGCUCGGGACACUUGCUAGAUUUCAUCCCUUGUUGGAUCGAUGGAUUGUCUGUUUGAUAGUAGCUCAUCUUUCUUCUGGGAGUUGGUUAUGAGCGCCUUGUGGUGGAAUAGUUACUACUUGAUGAUGUGGGAUUCAUUAAUAUUAAGAGUAGCAUAUAUGGAGAUAACUCGCCAUCGAAGGUACCCGAAAAAUGCUCUGGUUACUGUGCAAUGGAAUUUUAUAUCUCUUCAAACAAAAAAGAAUGUGUUGAACACAUUUUUGGAAGAAAGUUCAGUUUAG
rnacentral:lncRNA from 1 species